GACGUACAUACGGAGAGAUUUUUUAUUCAGUAUACGACGUAGCAGUAUAUAUAGUAGACAACUCAUCAUCACCCGUAGAUAGAUAGAGACUCAAGCAUGGUCGUCGUCGAUGCUCCGGCGCCGACGACGGCGGCGGAAUGGAUCAUCGAUCGACGAUCAUCAGGUCGUCGUUUCGGUUUAGCUCACCCUGGAGCAGUCGGUGGAGGUGCUGAUGGUGUAGGGGAUGCUGACGCCGCACUUGGAGGGGAUGCUGGCGGCCUUGCCGACGUUGAGGCCGCGGAUGCCACGGGCGGCGUUCUUGAGGCAGUUGCAGGCGGCGCGCCUGUCGGCGGUGGUGCGGGCGGCGGAGUUGAGGCUCCUGACGCCGCUGCAGCAGCCUGCGGAGGGUCCAGAGCCCUGGCCGCGGGCGUAGGACAGGCAGGGCCCGAUGGCGGAGCUCACCUGACCGCAUGUCACGGCGGCCUCCGAGGUCGUCGCCGCCAGCACCACCGCCGCCACGACGGCGAUCGCCACAGCAAGCUUCAUGCUGCGAGCCAUGUCGAUCUCGAUCGACCUCCUGUGAUAUAUGUGCUGAUGCUCGUAGGUGACUGAUAGCUUUUGGGAUGCAGUGAGUGAGCAAGUGCUAGCUGGUGAGGAGAUUGCAAUGGAAUGUUGCUCCUUAAAUAGGCAGGCUUUGUGAUCGAUGUGUGAGCUAGCUAGCGAUUGCUGAUGAGUGAUGUGCAUGCAUGGGAUGGGUGUGCAUGCUGUUUCAGUCGGUGGAUGCAUGCAUAUGCGUAUAUGUCCAUGGAUCGAUGGUAUCUCUCGCCAUGCAUCGAAGUUAACUGCUGGGGAGGAGGUGGUUGGGUGUUGAGGGAGGAGGGCAGAUGCUUGUUUAGUUGUUGUAAUACCCGAUUUUAAGGACAAAACCAGAUAUGCACCAUAUGUGAGUUUUAAAAGCCAAAUCUCACAUAUAGCUACAAAUAAGGGGUAAUAUCAAAAGACAAUGCAAAAAUUAUAUAACGUACAUAAUAUAAAAGAGAUAACCUUUGAUAGCAAACAACGGAUAGACAACUCCAAACUCCGGGUAUUAACUUCUCUCUACAGGAUCCAACUGACUGGUUGAUCACAAGCCUAAACUUCUCCUGAGGUUUGGGGGAAAUAGCAAGAGUGAGUCCAUGUCAAACUCCACAAGUAUAGCAACUAGAUUGUAUAGCUCCCACAAUCUCAUGAUCAAUGUGACAUAAAUAAUGUAAAGCAUUAAACAAUAAGCAAUGAGCAUAUUUAACACACAAGAUUCAUCACCCUUAAUGUAGAUGUCCCCAAGGCCGUUCCUGACCGUGAGCUCGGCUAGUAUACUAGUUUUAACACUCUGCAGAGGUUGCACAUCUUUACCCAUGAGUCAUGAUUUACCCUUUCGCCCGAGGUGAUCAGCCUCUUAACCCACUUCCAAGGAAGGUCGGCAGGGAUCACUAUGAAGCCUUUCAAAAGUUCGUCUAACAUGUUAGGGCCGCAAGGUUUCCUUUGCGAGCAGAUAUAGAUACCCCCCUUCCGAAUGGCACAAUGACGCGCAGCCUAUACACAUAGGGACAGGGGCUCGCACUAUACCCGUGUCGGUUCAGCCCCUCCGCCCUUUCGGGUAACCUCUAACAAGCUAGAAAAGGUCUUCAUACUGAGCUAAAGCCAGAGCCAUUAUAGCCCUCAUGGUUGCACUGUUAUCCCGGGUGAUCACGUACAGACAAAUCAUCAAGUUGUUAAAAAGUCAUUUUUACCAUUUAUUACUUAACAUUAAUCUAGUCACAGGAUCAUGGUCACAGAAAUAAAAUCCAAAUGCUAUACUUGCCUCAAUCCAAUUGCUCUUGCUUAUCCUUUUGGUCCUGCUGGUCUCACUUGUUGCCAAAGCUUUGAUCUUGAUCACCGAAACUGCUCUCCGUCUAAACUCGAUCAUCGAUCAUCAACACACAAACAAUCGGACACAACAUACACGUAGCAAACAAGGCUAUAAUUAGAACAGUACACCAAUCAUAUAAAAACAAUAUGAAAAAUUUGUAAAAUAAUUCUACGCAUCGCUACGAUCUCACAGACGUAAAGAUGACGAAAAUCGGAGUUAAAACGGAAAAGAUAUGGAUUUUCUAAGAUUUUAUAUAGAAAAGUAAUUAAUUAAUUAAGGUCACGAAAUUAAAAGGUUUCAAACUGAGUGAACAAUAUUACUAACAUGUAGUGCUCGUGAUUACGAACCUAACACAAUUUCAAUGGACAAAACGGAGUUAAAACAGAGAUGAUAUGGCCUAAAUAAACUAGCGUAUUUUCUUUGUAUUUUUAGGUUUGUUUUUCUAAAGGAAAACGGCAAUAAAACAUGUCUAUGUUAUAACGACGUCAUCAAGCUAGCCAGCAACGUUUAUUCGCAGAUAUAUGUUAGACAUGUACAUCCCUAGAUCGAUUGCUGCGCAGAUAGAAACAUCGCCGGGCGAAACAAAUCAGUGCAUGCACUUGUAGAGGCUUUGUGAAAUUUCUCACACAGGAAUCGACAUAUUAAAGAUGCAAAGUUACCUCUUAUGGUGAUUAUAAGAUUCAAUAGGACAUGCUUGCCGAACGAUGGGUCAGUGGCCACGUCGUCAAGAACAGGUUGAUCUACGGCAACACCUUCUACUCCCGUGCUCUGUUGCUUGCUACUCUUCACGUGGCCAGCGAUUUGGUCUUCUGCUUCUUUGGUCCACAAUCACGAUGGUUCACCGGAACAUGGCAAGCAGCUCUGGCAAGCAGGACGUGGCAAGAGCAGAGCGGCGGCCGUAACAUGGCAAGGGCAGCAUCUAUCUAGGCAUGGCCGACGGCGGCGGCUCUCAAGGGUUUUAAGGACGUAAACACUCUAGACGAAUAUGACGUGUAUAUAUACGUGCGGUCUAGAUCAAGUUUGAUUAGGGUUAGAACUUAUUAUUUUUGGAAUUAAUUAUUUUCAUGGAUAAAAUAAUUAUAGAAAAGUCCAGAAUUAUUAUUUAAACUAUGAAAAAUAUUCUAAAAGCUCUGAAAAUUCGGAGAAAAUUCUCAGAGACAUUAUGGAAUAUGAGGAACUCAAAUAACGUAUUUGGACCUCAUGAUAAGAUAAUUUGGAGCAUCUAAAAAUUAGAUUUAUGCUCAUAGAAAAGUGAGAAUAGAAGAUGGAAAAAUUCCCGAAAAGUUUGUAGAGAUUGCUUGAUGGACGAGGAACUAAAAGAAGUGCUUUGAGUGACAAAGAAAAGAUUUUAGGAAGCUCCUAAUAAAAAAUUGAGCUGAGAAACCAAAGAAUUUGGUUAUAGAUAAAGAUAAAGACGUACUGGUCAAGGAAGAUCUACUAAACGCAUUUUAAAACUUUGCUCACUCAACACAUAAAGGAGCAACAAGUCAACAUCACAUCAAAACAUAUGCACCAGCAUGUAUGCACAACAAUAUUGCUAAGGCUUAUGAUAAAUUUUAAUUUAAUGAAAAUUAUUAUUUUCCUUAUAUUUUCGUGAGCACAAAAUACAAAACUGAAUAAAUUUUCAUCUAUUUUGAAAAGAGCAAAAUUUAGGGUGUUACAGUUGUCAAAAUUUUUUAAAAUUCUCAAUCAAAUUAAAUCUUGGGACACAAUGUAUCAAAUAUUAAAUAUAGAUAAAAAUUAAUUAAUUAUAUAGUUUGUAUAUAAUUUGCGAGAUAAAUUUUGUAAACCUAGUUAAUCUAUAAUUAAACAAAAAUUAUUAAAUAUAAACGGUGCUAUAGUAACUAGAUCCAAAAAUUUUCACCAACUAAGGGCUUGUACAACGAUGGGCGCUUAUGAUCAGGUAUUGGCCGUUAAAUAGUUUUUUUGCCACACGGUGGAGUCCUGAGCGGGCGCUUAAAAAUAGAUUUGCCGCUCCGUAAAGCAUCGACGCCUAGACCGGCUCCUUGCUUGAUACUGGUGUUUGCAUGCGACGUAACGGUCACAACUUAAGCGCCUUCAAAUACGUGUUGUGUUGUAGAUUAAGGUUAUAAAGAGACGCUUAGUUACAAAAGUAUUUUCUCUUUCCAUCUAAGCGCCUUUUGCAUUGUACGUGCUCUAAACAAGGCCACAGAUACAGACAUACAGUGGUUAGCUGAGGCAGAGUGAAAUCAUUAGCAGCAAACAUAUAAUAAAUAGCAGCCGCCUAGCACGACUUAGCGCCACUUAAGUUUUGUUUAGUUACGCUCGAAAUCCAAAAACUUUUCAAGGUUCUCUUCACGUCGAAUUUAGAGACACAUACAUGUAGCACGACUUAGCGCCACUUAAGUUUUGUUUAGUUACACUCGAAAUCCAAAAACUUUUCAAAGUUCCCUUCACGUCGAAUUUAGAGACACAUACAUGAAGCAUUAAAUAUAAAUAAAAAAAUAACUAAUUACAUAAUUUAUCUGUAAUUUGAGAGACGAAGCUUUUGAGUCUAGUUAGUCUAUAGUUGAACAAUAAUUAUCAAAUAUAAAAAAAAAUGUUAUAGUACCAAAAAAAUCUUUUCACUCACGAACUAAAUAAAGGCCCUAAUCUCAUCAUCCGCCUCACUGUUUAAUCGAAUGUCCUUGAUGGCCACCCACAGGCUCACAAAACCUGAGACGGUGAGACCUUGCCUGGGGUAGUAUAUGGGGCCAAUGGCCAAUCCAUUUAUCAGUUUGCCCAAGGCAGGUGGUGGGCCACUCUGUUCAAUUUUGAGUCUAAUAUAUGCAAUAUCUUCUCUUUUGUGCAAUUUUUGUCCGUGGGUUCAAACAAUCCUGCCACCGUGUCACCGGUGGCUGAUCGUGUCAACCCUUCGCCGCAGUCCGCUCCACCACAGUACGGGGGGCCCAGUUGCAGUCUCUGCCACCGCAGUAGGGAUGUUGAACUUGUAAUAAUAAAUAUGUGAGUGCUUUUAAUAUAUAAUGCAUGUUGGUGAUAUAGAUGUGAUAAUUGGCGUGUGUGUAUAUAUAUUGUCUGUUACAAUGGAAUGUAAAAAAUAAAACAAAUACAAUUCUCGGGGUCUUCGCCGAGUGCGGUGCCAGGGUCACUUGGCAAAGCAAUUUAAAAAAACAAUUUUGCCGAGUGUCGGGGCCACGACCACUCGGCAAAGAAUUUUUCUUUAAAAAAGAAAAGACACUUUGCCGAGUGCUGAUGCUAGGGGCACUAGGCAAAGUAUUUUUAAAAAAAACAAAUAUGCGGAGUGCCGCGGCAAGGGACACUCAGCAAAUAUUUUUUUUUUAAAAAAAAAGAAAGAAAAUCUUUGUCGAGUGCCUGAGGCCAGAGGCACUUGGCAAAGCAAUUUUUUUUAAAAAAACUUUGCCGAGUGUUAAGGGGCCAGGGGCACACGGUAAAAUAUUUUUUAAAAAACAAAAACUUUGUCGAGUGUCGUGUCGGGCAACUCGGCAAAAUAACUGUUAACGGCAGAUGCUGUGACGGCCAAAAAUGUUGCCGAGUGCUGUCGUAAGCACUCAGUAAAAUGUUUUUAAUAUUUUGCUAAGUGCCUCGGUAAAAAGCACUCAGCAAAGUCUCUUUGUCGAAAAUUUUUUUGCCGAGCGAACUUUGCUGAGUGCUACGUUCGGCAAAGCCUUUGCCGAGUGCAAAGGGCUCUUUGUCGAAUGUAAAAACACUCGGCAAAGUCCUAAUUUCCAGUGGUGGGUGUGCUGGGACAAUUUAGAAAGCAAGCAACGAUUUCAUUUUGCGUUAGAUCACUCCCAUCCUCGAAGCCUCAGUUUUUUUUUUCAGAAAUAAGUUCCAGCUGUUGCUGCUGAGAACUAAAAGAAGCUUUUCACCCUUGAUUGAUCAAUGGAUUGGCUCUCUAGUUUAACAGGCUUCUUUGUUGUACUCUUUUUGCUCUUUUUUCCUUAGUUUUUUUGUUCCUUAGUUAAGACUCCACCCUACUGCCUCCUUAACUGUUGUGCUUUUUUUUUUGUAAAAGACCUUUUUUAUUAUAAUUUUUGCAUUGUUGUAGGGGUGCAAACCCCUCCAAUCUCCUUCAAAAAAUUCAAAAGUAAUAUAACCUUGCAGAACAAAGGACGGUAAUCCCACCAUUUUGCUAUGUGAGCCCACUCCUCUUAUUUUUUUUACUUUUAUUUUGAUUAUGCCCACUCCUGUUAAGCAGUCAUUUGUUCCAUUCCCUAAAUAUAUUUCUAUUUUUUAGAAUAUUCAAUAAGGCGUAUAUACAUUAUAUUUUAAGAAAUAAACUAUAUUCAAGACAAAUCUACCCACAUCAAUAUUACUUGUAUACAUUCAAAUAAACAUGUAGACAUAAUAAUUCGAUAGUUAAGGUUUCAAAAUGAUUGAAAUAAGACAACUUGAAAUAUGUCACAAUAAAAAAUUAUUUGUGGUCAAAGUUUCUGAAAUUAUUGACUUACGACAACGUACAUCCAAGUGUCACUUAAUUGCUUUGUGAGCAGAGGGAGUAUAUAUUUUGGCAAGUUACCCUCCAUCUAAAAAUAUAAAACACAUGUUUUUAGGACAGUAAGAUUUGACCAAUAGGUGCUUGUGCCAUUAAUAUGCAUAAAUCAUAGAUACUUUUGAAUACAAAUAUCUAGUUACAUCAAUUUGCUACCACAAAAUUGCAAGUAUCUUGGUUAAAGCCAUGUCUAACAAAACAUGAGCUUUGGGAUGGAUAUAUAUCAUAUUGGUGUGUACGUUUAGUAGUCUCUCUUCGUUUCAAUUUAUUAGAUGUUGUUUUGGCUUUUGUAGAUACAAAAAUUUUUUUAUGUAUCUAGAUAACGUUUAUUAUGAUAUAGAUAUAUCGUAUAUCUAUAUGCCUAAAAAACUGAAUAUCUAGAAAAACUAAAAUAACCUAUAAUUUAGGAUAGAGGGUGGUAAUAAUUAUACAUCUUCUGCUACCAAGUCCCUUAAUUACAGCACACAGCUCUGUUUUCUAGUUGCCUUGAUCGUUCAUCAGAUGAAUUAUGUAUUUGAAGAGUAGCGCGUGUGUGGUCAUGUCAUGAAAACGUGCUAGCUAGGUACUUGUUUUAAUUUCCACCGUGUGAGUAUUUUUUUUUUUCAAGUGGCGAGAGUUCAUUAAUUAAAUAAAACCAUUCAAUUUUUCAAAUCACAAUACGUUGUCUGCAAAUCCUCUGAGUCAGCCAGUUUUUCGUUACGUGCUAUACUCCGUCCAUUCUAAAUUAUGUUUUUUAAACUUUUUGGUAUAUUCAUUUUGCUACAUACUAAAAAAAUUAAAAAUAACUUAUAAUUUAGAACAGAAGAGGUAUAUAUAUAGUUGCAUAUAUGCUGACAAGUGUUUGGGGGAGAAUAGAGCAGUAACUCUCUUGACCAAGCGUUUGGGAGUCAUGGAACACAGUCACAUGGCGCAUGCAUGCGUAACAACAAUUUGGAAACAAAGAGAUGUGUGUGUGCAUGUAGCAGUGAUCGAACUAGUACAAACCACAGGAGCGAGAGGAAACGUACACGGACAUAAAUAAUAAACACCGCACAUAGUGCAUGCACUCAAAAAUAAACCCAACAAGCAAAAGUACAUCUCUCACACACACAUGUACACACGCACGUACGUACAUACGCUAAGAUGCAAGCGUAUCACAGCGUACACGACGACACGUACGUACAUACGGAGAGAUUUUUAUUCAGUAGUACGACGUAGCAGUAGUAGACAACUCAUCAUCUCAUCAUAUCAGGCGUAGAUAGAUACUCAUCCAUGGUCGAUGCUCCGGCGCCGAUCGACGACGACGGCGGCGGCGGCGGAAUGGAUCAUCGAUCGAUCGAUCAUCGUUUAGGUUUAGUUCACCCUGCAUGAUCAUGCAUGCAUGGAAGACGAAGCACAAGUUAAUUAAACGACUUGAUAUUCAAGUUGAAUCAGACCAUGCAUGCAUGCAAAGUUGCAAACAACUUGUAGUGAUUGGAUCAUUCAUUCAGAUCAUCACUUAAUUACCUGGAGCAGUCGGUGGAGGUGCUGAUGGUGUAGGGGACGCUGACGCCGCACUUGGAGGGGAUGCUGGCGGCGUUGCCGGCGUUGAGGCCGCUGAUGCCACGGGCGGCGUUCUUGAGGCAGUUGCAGGCGGCGCGCCUGUCGGCGGUGGUGCGGGCGGCGGAGUUGAGGCUCCUGACGCCGCUGCAGCAGCCUGCUGAGGGUGCGGAGCCCUGGCCCCGGGCGUAGGACAGGCAGGGCGCGAUGGCCGAGCUCACCUGCCCGCAGGAGAUGGCCGCCUCCGAGGUCGUCGCCGCCAGCACCACCACCGCCGCCGCCGCCACCACGGCGAUCGCCACAGCAAGCCGAGCCAUGUCGUCGAUGUUCUGGGGGUGUCUGAGACUUGCUUGUACUAGCUUUGGAAUGCAAGUGAGCAAGUGCUAGCCGCUGGUGAGGAGAGUGAGAUGGAGUGUGGCUCCUUAAAUAGGCAGGCUUGCGAUCGAUCUGAUCUGAUCUGAUCUGGGAGCUAGCUACAGUAGCUUGUCAUUGCUGAUGACAGAUGUGCAUGCAUGCACGGUGUUGUUGCAUUGCAUGCAGUUUCAGGCAGGCAGUCGGUGGAAUGGUGGAUGCAUGCAUAUGAAUGAAUGAAUAUGGUGGAUGUUCCAACAUCAUCUUCCAUGGACGACGGACGGUAUCGUCGCCAUCCGUCGAAGUUAAUUGCUGGGCAGGAGGUGGUUGGGUGUUGGGAGCAGGAGGCAGAUAGAUACAGAUAAUACUACAGCGGUUAGUUGAUGAGGGCAUGAUCGAGGCAGAGUGAAUUCAUUUGCAGCAGCAAUAGCAACUUAUUAGGGUAUGUUAUACUAUAACACUUUCGUUUAUAUUUAGCAAUAAAUAUUUAAUUAUAGACUAACUAGACUCAACAAGUACUUUAUCUCGCGAUUUACAUAUACAAACUAUGUAGUUAAUUAUUUUUUUUUUAUUUAUAUAUAUUUUAUGUUUCGUACAUGCGUCUAAAGAUUCGAUGCGACGAGAAAUCUUAUAAACAUUUAGAAUUUUAAAGACAUUUAAACACGCCCUUAAAUAGCAGCCGCCUAACACGACUUAGCAGGCAGGGUGAUGGCGGCAGUCGGCAGGGACGGACGUACGUGGCUCUCAUCUGAUGAAGUUGGAGGCGUAUUCACUCUCUCUCACUAGUGUGUCAGUGUGAGGUAGUUUGCAGUUGGAUCCGAGUGCUUAUCGCACAAUAAACACAUACUCUUCCUGCAUUAAGACGUCAAUUAUAUAUGGAUCGUCCAUCAUCCAUGAAUCCUUCCAGUAGUCUUCGUUAAUUCCUCCCGGCCGCAACCAGAAACAGAGAUAUCAGUACAGUGCAGGAGGUUACAUGCACAUUCACAAAUUGAAGUUGCAGCAGUGGUAGCGAUUAAGUUGUCCAGCAAGUAUGGGAGCCCACAUGUCGCUGUCUCGAUCGGAAGCUCCGCCACGUAUUACAUACAUGCAUCCCGUCCCCAACCUAGCUAGCUACCUCUGUGUGCACAGGCAGGUACCACCGACGGUUUCCCAAAACUCGUAUGUGUCCGACCCUCAAAAACAAAUCUCUCAAUUUUUGUUCAAAACAAACAAAUUUUUUAAAAUUUUAGAUUCAAAAACAAACAACUUUUGACCAUCAAAGAAAAAUACUGCUCUACCUCGAUCCGUUCUAAAAAGAACUUGGGAUUAUAUUCUAGAAAGUAACAGAUAGAUUCGUGUGUAAUGUUUAGAGAUGAGAUCUUGUAUGAAAAGAUUGGUUGAUGCGUAUAGAGCAACUUCAACCAAACUUCUAAAUGAACCUCUACCUUUUUAUAUAAAGGGGCUAAAACUCAAAUAUACUCUCGAACUGAUCCGGUCCCGACGGAGAGGGGCUCCCAUUUAUCUUUCCUCUAGAUGUAUGAGGCGGUGUUUCGGAUGGUUUGAUUCAAUUCCUUGCAGCUGCUAUUCAAUGAUGUCUUAACUGUAGCUCAUUUCUACCACUCUUAAUUAUGUAUGGCGAAGAGAAGAUUAAGCUCCCAAUCGAGUCCGAGUUGGAGGAUUUCGGUGCAACGUGGAGUUUGAUCUCUGCAUGGAUCGUUAAAUCUAAGUUGAGGUCAAUGUUUGUACUACAGAUCAUAGUACAUUGUGGUUGCCCUUGUUUGUAUGAGAUCUAGUGUAGAAUUUGUUGAUACUUUGUUGGCUACACAUUUGAUGGUUCCUUUCACUUAGGUUUCUUGGAUGAGCAGUUGUAAAUGCCAUUGCUUUCAUUAGUCGGCAGUUUGGUGCGCAUAGUGGUGUUCACAUGUGCUAGUUGCUCAUUUAGUGAUUGUGGUUCCUGAAUUAUGUGUUUGAGGUGGAGCACAUUUAGAAAGUAUGGAUUUGCAUUCUUCACUAUCUGUUCAAUUAAUGCCUUAGGUGAUUUCUUCGCAUACCCUUUCGUGAUCGAGCAAUUUGUUCAGACUUGGGUUAGAAGGCAGUAGCACAUGCUCAAACAUUUGCUGCGGUUAGAAUUUGUCGAAGACUCAGUUUUGUUCAUCUGAAUUUGGUGAGACACGAUUUGAACUUCCUAGUUAUUCUUGCUUGCUCGAUUUGGUAGCUUCUUGUGAAGCAUUUGUUGGUGGUUUUGUUAGUGUAUUUGACUUGGUGUUGGAGAUUUGAGCAUUUUGCAUCAUGAUCAUUGGUGUGUUGGCCAUGUUGUUCACUCAUUGGAGUUCACUCAUGAAUUUGUUUCUAGCUUCAUCAUUUGCCAAGUCAAAACAAGCUACCUUCAUGUUGGAGGCGAUAAAUUUGUCUUUUUUAUUAUUUAUUUGAAGAUGAAGGAUUUGAAGAUUGGACUUCCCUCAUCAAGAAUCUUGAUGUGUUCGCUCUAUGGUUCAAUCGUCGCCGAGGUAUAGAAUUGUGAUGUUGCAGCUUCUAAUAACACCAUUUGAGGCUUUACAUUAUGCAGAAUGUUACCUAUAUGUUUGGUUAGGUGUCUAGGAACUUAUUUGUGGUAAUCUGUAACUUUGAGAGCCUUUUAAUGAAAUGCCCAAACCAGCCCAAAAAGGGCAUCCCAAGCUCCCUGCUUCUGUAGGUGCAUGCUCUUCCCCUUUGGGGGGUUGAGAGAGGCCGGGAGAGGAGAUUUGAGGGUGGGGCUUUGUUUUACCAAAUCUGAACAUUAUAGAGUGAAAUCGGAGGGGAUUUAGAGCCUUCGCCAACCUUGUUAGUUCACGCCUCUUGUAUCAUCAUCUUCACAGUGGAUUGCUUGCUCGUCGCCGCCUGUGGUUUUUCCUACAAGGGGUUUCCACAUAAAUCUUAGUCUCUACCUAUGAUUCAGUAUUUAUCUUGCCAUACUUGUUGAUUCAUACCAAUCUUGCUUACAUGGUGUCAUUUCUCCAAGUUCAUGGUGUAUGAUUGAUAUUGACGUAUGAUGCAUACAUGCAUUCUCUUAUAUGUUAAUGAUGGGGAUUGAUGUGUUAGUGAGUUCAUAUUUACAAGUAUACUCAUUAUUGUGAAGUUUGCAUAGCACCAUGUCUGAAGAAUUGAUAAUAUGGGUCUGAUUUGUAUUUUGCACAUAAGGUGUUAGUUGAAAUAUUCAUGAGUAACUAGCUUGCUAAUUUUGAUGUUUCCUCUGCCUCUAUGCGCUUACAAUAAGUUUAUGGAAUAAAUUUUAGAUCCUUAAUUGAUAUUUAUCUUUGGAAAUAGAGGAAGUAAUAAAUGGUCCCAAUUUGCUAGCCACUUGUACAUAGUUAUACUAUAUACAAGCUUAUGCAAGUCAAAAUGUAAAAAACAAGAAGAACCAAGAAACAUGAACAAAAUACAUACAUACACUUAUGCAAGAUGUAGUAUAUAACUUUUAGGACAAUAUUUAUUUUGGCUCUGUUUCACUAGUGGAGUAGCUUUUUCCACUGGUAAAGGUAAAAUUGUUUUAGUUGUUUGGUCAAACAACUUCUCUAAUUCUUAAAAACAAAAAAUGACUAUAAUACUCUUUUUUGGCUGGCCGAGCUUUAAAAUUUUUAUCUUCUUUUUUAUGAAUUCUUCUUUAUGUGGCUACCAUCUGUUUGUCCUCCCCGCUUAUCCCCUGGUGCCCCGACCCGUCCACCUCCGCCUCAGCUUUGCCACCUUCAUCCUCAUCCAGCCACCAGAUGUUUCUCCUCAGUGUUCAUCCCAUGGUCCCCGCCCAUCUCCCACCGGUGACUCCACCCCUCACACCUCAAUGACUCCACCCCGCCCUUGUUACAUCAUUCUUCGUUGUAGUUUUGUUUGCAUCCAAUGACUUCAGUCACCCCCACAACUCUAGCCCCAUGCCACACUUGUCAUGGUGCAUGUAUUUGCCGCACCAUGCCUAUACAAAGAUGGCCCUCAUGACUUGAUGGAAGAGCUAAGCAAAGCCAUUUUUAGCUUCCCUAGAUGUGAGCGCGUGUAAGAUCGUGUUUUCCGAAGUUAGCACGAGGAGUAGCAACAGCUUUCAAGAUGGCAACGGGCCCCGAUCCCCGAUGGGGAUUUCAUCCAUUAGGGGACGAGAACGGGAAAAUUUUGAUCCCCGUAGGGGGACUUCAUGAGAAAGAAGGAUCCUCCAUCAGGUGAAGCGGGGAUGCAAACAUUCUAGGCUUCAUCCUUUAGCCUGACCCAACAAAUGAAAUAGGUCCAGUUUCUAACACCUAAAAAAAUCAUAUAAAAGCAAGAGCAUUUGUAACCCUAGUGAUCCACCAUUGCUUCUAGGCUUCUAGCUGAGUUGUCACUUCCACCGGUCCUCCUCCACUCCUCCUGUAUGCCUCUAAAGUCCAAGCUCAUCCUAUCUCCCUCUCUCCCCUCUACCCUCUGUCUCGCACCAACGACGUUGUGGUGGCGGUGAUGCUUGCGGGCUGUGGCCACAUGCUCUGGUAAGCAAGCACUGCUCUAGGGUUGAACCUGACAACAGCGGAGCCACGGAUGAGGUGUUCAAGGGAAGACGUGAAGGGCAACACCAAGGGGUUUAUCGGGGAUAGAGACCCCGCCGAGUGUGUAAUCUCGGGGACAGGGAUGGGGAAAUCUGGUACCCAGGUGCAGGGAUAGGAACAGGGACGGGGAGCGGGGUGUUUUUCUUUUCUCAUGGUCAAAACGUUCAAGCAAAACCUGACGGGGAUAGCCCCGUUGCCAUCUUUAAACGGCUCUCCUUCACCUGUUCGGUAGACGAACACGUAGACCAACUCUAGGAGCAGUUUGAUUUACAUUUCCUGACGGUUGACGGAGUUAGUAAUUAAUUACGUAAGAGUAGUUGAAGGAGCUUCCCGGCACCAUAUACUUGCGAGUGAUAUGCAGGGGUUACAAUAAUUACAGUUUACAAUGCUCGUCUCUUUAAUUAUGCGACGGGACGUGACGAUGGCCCAGCGGCUCAGCUGCAUGCAUGGAUCAAUCGAUCGAUCGCCAAUUAUCAAAAAAACCAAUCGAUCGACAGCUAGGUAAACUACCAGCUGCGGAUUAUAAAUUAUUCACGCUCAUCAUAUACAUAUAUAAUUAUAUAUACACGUACGUACGCUUCUGAGUACGAGCGACGAAAGUGUGGUGCAAGUGCAGCGUACAUGCCGGUACAGCGGCCAUCAUAUCAAGAUAUGUAUCCAUCUCCUACUACUGUACACAUUUGUAUCCUUACGGAGAUACAGUAUAUCAAGAUCAUCCUCUGACUCACUGCAUAGUCUGCACCGCAUCACGUACGUGCCGAAUACGUACAAGACUGAUUCAUGCUACAUAGUACGUGCGCCACACUCCUCGAUCGAUCGGUACAUCUUCACGUGUCCAUGUUCCUCAUCAACGAAUUAAUGCAUUUGUUUUCACAUGCCGCAUGCAUGAGAGUCGUCGGUCGUGGUGCCACUGUGCACACAUGCUUGAGUCCUUUGCUUUUCCUGUGCUCCAAUUCUUUUUUUCCAUAUACUCUACUCCCCGUCCCAAAAAAAGUGUCGUUUUAGAAUUUCAAACAUCUUAUUUGAUCAUCCAUUUUAUUCAAAAUUUUUACAUAAGUAUUAUAAAUUUUGUUAAGACCUAUUUAUCAUUAGAGAUACUUUACUAAUGAUUUAUUUAUUUUAUAAUUUACACAAAAUUUUUGAAUAAGACGAACGAUCAAACACGAUUUCUAAAAAUAAAAAACGUCACUUUUUUUAGAAUGGAGGGAGUACAUUAUUUUCAGAUGCCCAUCCUAGAGUAUGUAGUACCAUUCCAUGUAACAGCUAGUACCUUGUACCUAGGAUGGAGUACGUACUACUCGUGCUUGCAGUAGCGCGCGAAAGUGGACGACAGCACGCCCAUACGGCCAUCCGCUCACCAUUGUCUACAUCCUAGCUUUCUACGUACGUGUGUACCUGUACAUAUAGUCAUAAACCUAUAUCUACAUUUUUUAAUAAUAAUUUAUAUCCAUACCCUAAUAAUUUUAAUAAUAAUGAAUAAUAAAAGAAGCAAAAAAUUUCCCAUCCCUCCUAUUACUGCUUUAAGUAAAAAAAAAGACCUUCACGGACGCGGCAACACUUGUGUUAGGAUGAAAGAUAGAAAUGAGGCACAGCCAAUCUGUCGUCUUGUGAUGAAUUACGAAAAGAAUAUUUGUCAUCAGAUCAGUAGUAGAAUUAACAAUCACACGUAGAACAGACACAAUGAUUUAUGUGAAAGACCUUUUCAAGGCAAGAAGUAAAAACUAUGGAACCAAACGCUCUACUCCAAGCUUCCACUAUAAGUACAAUGAGUGUAGAAGGAGUUUUAUCUAGGGAAUCUAGAGUUAACCAGCGAUAACACAUUCAUCAAAUUACAAACUUGCCAUCAGUUAGAACCACAACCUUCUAACAAUAAGAGGAAUGACAACAACGAAGUAAAGAACUCAUAUAUUUUGUUCCCCUUUGGUAUCAAUUUAUAUCUCAAACUAUAGCUUUAUUGUGCAUUAAUUUUGAAAUGCAUAUAGAUCCACAAGUCCCCUAGCCACUGAUCAAGUUUUAGCUCAAUUGGACACCAUUUCACCAUCCAAAACAAUCAUCUACCAAAAUUUCUCUCUGUCUUGAAACUUAGUAACCAGAGCUGACAAAACAUACCCUUUCAAAUCUGGUGCUCUAAUCAACCGAUCCUCAAACCAACUGAACAUAUCAAACUAACCUAAUUGAGGAAUGAGCUAACCAAGUUUGGUCCCAAUCCAUCUAUGUUUGAGCCUACAAUCACUGGCUUUAAGAUGGCUGGUUAGAGCCACCAAAUCUCGAUAGAUUUGGUUCUUCUUAUUGUUCCUCCUCUUUGUCUAUCACGUUGUGGUGUUCUUGUGUUUCUCAACACCCCUCUCUUAGCUCCAACAACUAAAGGAAUAAAAGCUAGGGUUUUUAUUUUUAGUUUCCAAUUAAGAUUGAUCUUCACCGUUGGUUCCAACUAAAAUCAACAACUCACAAGAACUAGCCUCAGAGUUAUAUUUUCAGCUGCUUUGCGGAGCUCAAGAUCAUCCUCUAUAUGAAGGGACAGACUAGCACUUGUGUCAUAGCUUGGUCGACUGAGCUUGAGAUCCAACGGUGGGGUGGUGGGGCUCUAGAGCCCCCUCCUACGGCUACUGGACCUAUGGAGUCUCCAUAGGAAUUUUUUAUCAUGGAUGCACUUGAGGAGAGGCUGAAGCUAUCUAAAGGUUUAAAGAAAUCUCCCUAGACAUUUUUGCUAGAUCCGUUCCUAUAUGUGAUACAACCAGUGCAUUCAAUAGCCAGUAGCCACCAAAUCACUAGAAUUUAUUUGAUUUAAUUAAAGUAAAGUUUGGUUCCAACUAAAUUAAUAAAUUUAAUAAAAUGAUUAGUUUAUUAUCAUCUACUUUGGUAGAUCCAGACAAUCGCACGAGAAGUUGUAGGUGUGUACUUGUGUUACAGCACAGCAGCAUAUAUGAGCAUAUUCGUUAUGCCAAUAUUAUACACAAAGAAAAAGAGUCAUGGACGAGGCGGCAAUUGCUGUCGGUGGAUGGCUACCUUUCGGAAGCUAGCCACCGUACACACUCUUUUGGCCGGCCGGCGUCGGCGUGCUGCCAAGUGCAACCUCCCCAACGCUAAGCAGGUAGUGAUAUUAAUGCCGCUGCCGGUGAGGCUCGUCGUCGUCGUCGUCGUCGUCGUCGUGUGACACAAACAAGUCUACCAUCACCCAGAGUGGUCCCGGACACUGUAGGACACGCGUAGUGUAUGUACGCAAUGUCGUCGUCUGCUGCCCUGCUCAACGAUGUGUUCUAACUUUAUUACACGGUACCUGUACGAGGGUAGCAGCAGCUGCUCGGCUGCUGCAGGUGGAUCAUGCACACGCGCGCAACUCCAACACUACCCUAAACUUCACUUGGCAAAUCUUGAAUUUUGCAAAGUGUAAAACUCAAAUGCCAAGUGAAAAAAAGAGGCUUCUGUUAGCUAUUUCUUUUGACAAAUUUGGACUAUCUUGUGAUUCCUGAAAAAAUCAGAGAGACUUUUAUACAAAAGUUGCAAUCUAUUUAAGGCAUGCGUGCAUGCUGAAUGUGUGGGUCCCACCGCGUAGGCAGGAUGCCAAGCGCUCCCAACGCUCUUAAAUUUGAGCCAGUUGGCCCUCUUUUUGCCAAGCAUCCUAUUUUGCCAAGUGCAUAUAGAGUAGUGUUGGAGGAGCUUUUCCAUGUUUUGCCAAAAAUUAGGAUUUGCCAAGUGCAUAUAGGGUAGUGUUGGAGUUGCUCUAAGGACGUCCAGAACAGCCAUCUAAGGUCUCUUUGGUUGGACUUUUGAACCUGCUUUUGCUUUUGUAAAAGCCAAAAUCCAACCAAAGGGCCCAAAAGCCACAAGUGCUUUUGCCCAAAAGCAGCUUUUCUCGUAGUACAAAUCCAAAAGCACCUCACCCCCUGCUUUCACUGACUUCUGGGAUCCGUUCAGUUUUUUUUUCCAAAAGCCACGAGUGACCAACCAAAUGACUUUUGGGUUUCUCAAAGCCCACAUCCCACAGUAGCUUUUCAAAAGCUCAAAGCUCACAGUAGCUUUUCCAAAAGUCACAUCCCAAUCAAACACACCCUAAGGCCUUGUUUAGAUCCAAAUAAUAGAUCUACAGGAUCUACUAGCAAUAGAAAGAACAGGGAUUCGGGAUACAUAAGUAACAUAGACAGUAACAUAAAUAUGCACACUAGAUCUAUUACAUAGGGAAUAGAAACAGGUAGAUCUAGAGUAUAGGGAUUCGACCGUCGUUGGCGGCGGGUGUAGAUCCAGUGGGGUCCAUGGCGAGGGCGUUGACGCGGUGACGGAGUAGAUCCCGUCGUCCUUCGGGCCUCCACCGGCACUGACCGACGACGGCGGGGUAGGAGUAGAAGGGUGACGGCGCGGUGGUGCUUCCCGACGCCACUGCGCACUGUCGAUCGGCGACCUAGGGUUGUGAGUAGGGUUUGGCGGCGCACGACGAACUUCGUGUUGUGUGCCAGUAGCCCCCUACUCCUAUAUUUAUAGCGCAGCGCGUCGGGGGCCCACCAACGAUAGAUCGAUUGGACGCCCCCGAUCAGGGCGCGAUCCAGGGGGAAAGGCCCCAGCCGUUGGGCUGGGCCUGAGAUCAAUAUAACAUUCUCCCUCUUGAUCUCAUCUGUGCUUUCUCGCUUUGUCAACUCACCCCGUCACAAAUCAGUGUAUUGAGCAUGCUUCAUCUUAGCAGUUAUCACUGCUAGAUUAGACAGCCACAAACACUUUUCUGUUUAGAGAUGAAUUCUCGCCUUGGGCCCCUUGCUAUCCAGGAAUCACAGGCUUUCCCUUAAACCCAUGUCGGCUACAUGUUCUCUGAACAUACUGGGCGGUAAGCCUUUCGUAAGCGGAUCCGCUAGCAUCUUUUCUGUGCUUAUAUGUUCAAGACUUAUGAUGUGAUCUCGGAUUUUAUCCUUGACAACAUAAUAUUUUAUGUCAAUGUGCUUGGCGGCAUUGCUUGACUUAUUGUUGUGAGCAUACAACACUGCUGGCUCGUUGUCACAAUACAACUUUAGUGGUUUAUCGAUGCUGUCGACCACCUUUAAACUGGGUAUAAAUUUCUUAAGCCAAUUCACCUGUCCUGAUGCCUCAUAACAAGCAAUAAACUCAGCAUACAUUGUGGACGAUGCAGUGAUUAUUAUUUGUUUUGAGCUCUUCCAUGAUAUGGCUCCUUGCACGAGAGUGAAUAUAUACCCUGAGGUAGACUUUCUAUCAUCUUCCGCGUAAUCAGAAUCUGAAUACCCUACUAUUUGUAGGUCAUCAGAUCUUCUAUAGGUUAACAUAUGAGCCCCUUCGUGCCUUGCAAGUAUCUUAAGAAUUUCUUUACUAGAUUCCAGUGUUCCAUACCAGGAUUACUUUGAUAUCUACCAAGUAGCCCGGUCACAAAAGCCAGGUCCGGGCGUGUGCACACUUGAGCAUACUGUAAGCUUCCGACAGCUGAAGCGUAUGGAACGGCUUGCAUGCAAUCGCGCUCGAACUUGCUCUUGGGACAUUGAUGUUCCCCAUACUUGUCACCUUUUACAAUAGGAGCAGGUGAAGGUCUACACUUAUGCAUAUUGAAUUUCUUCAAUAUUUUCUCUAUAUAUGCCUCUUGGGACAAUCCCAAUACCCCUCGACUUCUAUCUCGGUGAAUCUUUAUGCCCAAGACAAAAGAAGCUUCACCUAAAUCUUUCAUAUCGAAAUUUGAGGACAAAAAUCUCUUGGUUUCCUGUAGUAGAGUGACACCACUACUGGCUAGUAGAAUGUCAUCUACAUACAGUACUAGGAAAAUGUAUUUCCCAUUCUUAAACUUUGCAUAUACGCAAUUGUCCUCAACAUUCUCUUUAAACCCAAACUUUCUGAUUGUCUUAUCAAACUUUAAAUACCACUGCCUGGAUGCUUGCUUUAAUCCAUAAAUGGAUUUCUUCAGGCGACAACCCAUUCUUUCUUUGCUUGUCACAACAAAACCUUUCGGUUGUGCCAUGUAUACUCUUUCUUCUAGAUCCCCAUUGAGGAAAGCUGUCUUCACAUCCAUUUGAUGCAAUUCUAGAUCAAAAUGUGCCACUAGGGCCAUUAUGAUUCUAAAAGAGUCCUUGCUCAAGACGGGAGAGAAUGUUUCAUUAUAAUCUAUCCCUUCUCGCUGAGUAAAACCCUUGGCUACCAGUCUUGCUUUGUACCUUUCUAUGUUCCCUUUGGAGUCACGUUUCACCUUGUAGACCCAUUUGGAGCCUACUGUUUUGGCUCCUUCAAGAAUUUCCUCUAGGUCCCAAACUUUAUUGGUACUCAUAGACUUUAAUUCAUCUUCCAUGGCUUCUUGCCACUUAGAUACUUCGGUGCUCCUCAUGGCUUCUUCAAAUGAAGUGGGUUCAUCCUCCAUCUGAACUUCUUUGCAUUCAUAGACUAUAUAGUCAUCUGGAAUAGGAGACUUUCUCGCUCUUUGAGGUCUACCAGAAGUUUCUGGUACUGGCAUUUCUUCUUGAGGUUGCUCUUGUUGGGGCUGCUGUUCUUCAACUAUGGGUUCAUUCGGCUCCUGAAGGACAAGUUCCGAAUUAGCCAUAGGCGAAAAAGCAGCAGGUGUUGUCACUACUAGUGUAGAUCCAACAACAACAGGCAGCGUAAAGUAGGGUUCUUGCACCAUGGGAAUGGGCACGAACACCCGCUUCUCUGCAAGGGUAAUUUCUCGCGCUGCCUUGCUCCCCCUGAUCAUCUGAUCUUCUAGAAAACUAGCGUGUCUCGGUUCCACAAACUUGGUAUGUCUACCAGGGCAGUAGAAACGAUAACCUUUUGACUUUUCUGGAUAGCCAAUAAAAUGACAACUUACUGUUUUGGGGUCUAGCUUUCCUAUGUUUGGGUUAAAUACUUUUGCUUCAGCAGGGCUCCCCCAGACACGCAAAUGGUUGACUGAGGGUUUCCUGCCGGUCCACAACUCAUACGGUGUUUUAAGUACUGACUUGCUUGGAACUCUGUUGAGAAUAUGAAUGGCGGUUUUUAAGGCCUCCAUCCACAAACUCAAUGCAGAGUGGAAUAGCUCAUCAUGCUGCGCACCAUAUCCAUUAGAGUACGGUGACGCCUUUCUGCUACUCCAUUCUGCUGUGGGUCCCCUGGCAUUGAAUACUGGGCUACUAUGCCAUUUUCCUGUAAGAACCUCGCAAAAGGUCCAGGAACUUGUCCAUAAGGGGUAUGUCGACCGUAGUACUCCCCCCCCCCCCACGGUCAGAUCUUACUACUUUGAUUUUUCUGUCUAGUUGGUUUUGAACCUCAGCCUUGAAUAUCUUAAAUUUGUCUAAAGCUUCUGAGCGUUCUUUGAUUGGAUAGAUAUAUCCAAAACGAGAGUAGUCAUCUGUGAAUGUGAUGAAGGAAUCAAAACCAUCCACAGAUGUCACUGGAAAAGGUCCACAGAUGUCUGUGUGGAUCAAUUCUAGUACUCCUGUGCUUCGCUUAGUGCCUUUCUUUAUGUUCUUUACUAACUUGCCUUUAAUGCAAUCGACGCAUUGCUCUAACUCUGAGAGUUCUAGUGGUGGGAGGAUUGAUUCUUUAACUAAGCGUUCUAUUCUCCCCCUCGAAAUGUGGCCUAAGCGACAGUGCCAUAAUUUCGAUGAGGAAUCAAUUCUCUUUCUUUUCUUGCUAGCAUCUGCGGGUAUUGCAUUCUCAGCAUUAUUACAUUCAGCAUUCACAUUCUCAGACAUAGAUAAUAAAUAAAGUUUGUCUUGUCGGAAGGCAAGACCCACACAUUUAUUAUUUAACUGUAGCUUACAAUCAUUCUUGCUGAAAUGGCAAUCAAAACCAUAGUCUGACAAACAUGAAACUAAAAUUAAAUUUCUAGCUAAAGAGGGGACAUAAAGAACAUCAUGCAACUCAAGUGUGAAGCCACUAGCUAAAUCUAGAGAUAAAUUUCCUAUAGCUUGAACUUCAGCAGCAACACCAGUGGCCACCUUAAUCUGUCUUUCUCAUCUUUGAAGGGUUCUCCCUCCACUGAAUCCCUGCAAAGAGUUUGCAACAUGAACAGUUGCACCUGAGUCAAUCCACCAUGUGGAUCUAGCAUAACUUAGAUAUAAGGAUUCAUCAACAAAAGUUAUAAUGUCCUCACCUUUCACUAGGCAAUGUUUCAUGAACUUAGGGUAUUCAUGCUUCCAAUGCCCUGUCUCAUUACACCAUCUACAGCGAUCCGGGUCCUCCUGCCUGUGCUGGUUGUCUUGCUUUGGCUGUGCUUUUGGCUGUGAAGAGCUUCCUCCCUUGUUCUCGGAGGUGGAGGCAUCUAGAGCUUUCUUGUUGUAGAAUGGUUUCUUGUUCUUUCCUUUCACAAAGUUCACAGAACCACCAUUUGCAUUCUUGAGCCUUUCUUCCUCUUGCACACACAUAGCAAUCACCUUCUCUAAAUCCCACUCCUCUGGCUGUGUGUUGUAGUUAACAACAAAUGUCUCAUACUCUUUAGGAAGUGAGUUUAGAGCUAGGUGAAUGAUGAAACCAUCAGCGAGGGGCAUCUUUAGCUUCUCUAACUUGGCUGCCAUGGUGCUCAUGCUCAGAAUGUGCUCUCUCACACUCCCCCCUGUGAACCUCAUGUUAGUGAGUUUCUGGAUCAGGGUGGAAGCAUGAGCUUUGGUGGAACCAGUAAACUGAUUCUUCACUUUCUCAAGGUAUUCUUUUGCUGUCUCACAUUCUGGGAUGGCACCUCUUAGGCCCUCUGUGAUGGUUUUCUUGAUGACAAUCUUGCAUUUGCGGUUUGACUUUUCCCACUUGUACUUCUCAAGAUCAUACUUUGCUAUGAUGGGAGCAAAGUCUCGCUUCCGAUUAGCAAAAGCUUCAUCGCUCUCAUUCUGAGCCCUUUCGGGCUCCUCUGGCUCAGUGGGCUUUGGCUCCUGAAGAGCCAAAUCUAUCUCAGCAAGUGCUAGAGCUGCAUCAAGUUCCUCGCGCCACAGAACAUAGUUCUGCCCCGUCAGCUUUGGGAUUGCACUGAUGAAGUGCAUCGCAUUCUGCGCUUGGUCUGAAAUUAAAUAUGAGAAAAUAGUGAGAACAUCAACAUUAAAUCUAGGAAAAAUAAUUGCAUAUCUUAAUUUAACGUUGGUCAAAAUCAAGAUAUACAAAAAUUAACUCUCUACAUAAAUUCUAAUCACUGUUGGGCAGAAUAGAAUAAAUACAUAAAAUUAGAACUUGGAAUUUGUAAUAUUGCUAUUAUUAACGUUGGUCAAAAAAUAACAAUAUCACAAAAAUACUAGGCUUUAAAACUCGUGUCUCAAAUUAAAUAUCCCGUUGGUUCAAUUUAAUAUGAGAACGAAAAAAUAACUUGCGCAGCGGAAAACAUUAAUUUAUUUACUAUUUUUAGAAGCAUAACUAGCUAACUGUGCUUUCUAAUUAAUAUACACGUUGGUGCAAAUUAAAUAGAAUUUAAAACUGAGCAAAACAAAUAUUUAAAUGCUUCUGAAAAUUAAAUAGAAUAUAAAAAAGGAGUUACAUUGCUUAAACGGGCCGUGGCCAACCAUUCGGCCCACGACCUCUUGCGGUCCAGCUCGGACGCUGGCCCAGCAGCGCACGGGUGCUUCUGAGUUUUUUUUAUUCUUGGCUGGUGGCACGCGGCCCAGCUAUCGGUUUUCGGCCCAGCCCAACGGCAUGCGUGCACGCGGGCGCUUGGCGGGCCGCAACCUGGGCCGGUGGCGCGCAUUCGGCCCAGCGCCGAAACCCGCCUGGGCUCAUUCUAGCCCAGCAGCCGCUGGUCGUCCGAUUUGCGGCCGUCGCGAUCGGACGGUAGAGUGCGCAGGUCGGAGGCAUAAAAGCCGCCGGCGCCAGGCUCUCUCUCCCAAACCCUAGUUUCUUUCUCCUUUGCUUCCUUCCUGACUCAGCAGCCGACGGCGCCGGCGCAGGAGCCAGACAGCCGCGGCAAGGGCCUCGCCGGCGCCGGUGAAGACGCCGUCGUUUCGGCCGCUCCCUUUCUCCUUUCUGUGCUUUCUUUUGCUUUUUCUCUCUCCAGUCCACUUGCGCCCAGCUGUAGAGAAGGACGCAGUGCUUUGCCGGCCGGAAAGAGUGGCGCCGCCGCGGUUCCUAUCGCCGGAGCGCGCGCUUCCCGUGGUGGGUGAGCGCGCCGCCGUCGAUAAGAGUCGCGAUGGUGCCCUGCGCUUGGCCCCCAUGCGGGAUUCCUCCCUGGUUUUGACCACCCCGGCCGCUAUGGUCGUGAGGCCGGGAUGGGCUAGCGCCCAGGUAGGGUGUUCCUUUAUUCUUUGUUGUUUGAUCUAUGCUUUUAGGGUUAGGAAAUCCCUUUUCUCGAUCUUUCGCGUUUGGAUCUGGGCGCUAGGUUUAGGGUUUGGGAAAAAAAAUAAAUCCUCUCCUUCUACUUGCUGGGCUUGUUGGGUAAAUCCCGAAAACCCCGAUCUAUUACUAGAUCGGCUGAUACCAUUGAUAGAUCUACAGGAUCUACUAGCAAUAGAAAGAACAGGGAUUCGGGAUACAUAAGUAACAUAGACAGUAACGUAAAUAUGCACACUAGAUCUAUUACAUAGGGAAUAGAAAUAGGUAGAUCUAGAGUAUAGGGUUUUGACCGUCGUUGGUGGCGGGUGCAGAUCCAGUGGGGCCCAUGGCGAGGGCGUUGACGCGGUGACGGAUUAGAUCCCGUCGUCCUUCGGGCCUCCAUCGGCACUGACCGACGACGGCGGGGUAGGAGUAGAAGGGUGACGGCGCGGUGGUGCUUCCCGACGCCACUGCACACUGUCGAUCGGCGACCUAGGGUUGUGAGUAGGGUUUGGCGGCGCACGACGAACUUCGUGUUGUGUGCCAGUAGCCCCCUACUCCUAUAUUUAUAGCGCAGCGCGUCGGGGGCCCACCAACCAUAGAUCGAUUGGGCGCCCCCGAUCAGGGCGCGAUCCAGGGGGAAAGGCCCCAGCCGUUGGGCUGGGCCUGAGAUCAAUCUAACACCAAAAAGUUUUUGGAUUUUGAGAUUAUAGCAUUUUUAUUUUUAUUUGACAAAUAUUGUUCAAUCAUAAAGUAACUAAGUUUAAAAGAUUUGUCUAGCGACUUACAGACAAACUGUACAAUUAGUUUUUGUUUUCAUCUAUAUUUAAUGCUCCAUGCAUGUGCCACCAGAUUCAAUGUAACGGAGAAUCUUGAAAAGUUUUUGGUUUUUAGGGUGAACUAAACAAGGCCUAAAUAACUAGUAGAUACAUAGUAUUUUAUUUCACAUGGAGGAAAGAGAACGUGAAAACUGAGGCCUUGUUUAGUUUCAAUUUUUUUUGCAAAAUAGAUACUGUGGCACAUUCGUUUGUAUUUGACAAAUAUUAUCCGAUCAUGAACUAAUUAGGAUCAAAAGAUUUGUCUCGCAAAUUACAAUUAGGGUUUUAUAAAUGCAUUCCCCCCAUCAACCUUUAUACUCACUUUGGCUUCCCCUUUUAUAGGACACUAUUACUUGGGGAAACCAGUUUACACUCCUAUCCUACGACACAGCGGCUAUGGUACAUUAAUGGAAUACGCUUAGCCACAAACAUAAUUUUAGGGUUACUUUGGGGCAUUCCACCUUGGCAACCGCCUUAAUUCAUGGGCCUUUUCUAGUGCCCACAGAGGCCCAUCUAUCACCUCAAGUUCUAGGCACCGUAGGGGCCUUCUCGUCAGCCUUCACUAGAAAAGCCCCGCCUUCCGCCGCGAUCUGGGCUCAUGCUACUCUGGACCUUCACUGCUACACUACCACCUUCGCCUUGUGCUCCAUCCAAGGAGGGUUCCGUGAUGCCUUUGCCCCUCAGAGCGGGACCUUCGCCAAUGUCGAGGGUGCGGGCGAAGGCUCCUGUCUUUGUUCCUGCCAAUCAAUGAUCAUGUUUCGUGCAUUGUUAGUCUUUUUUCGCUGGUGUAUCCCCUAGCUGCCAUAGCUCAUAGUUCCAUGUCCCAACAAUGUCUAAGAGCAAUUUCACUAGGAACCCUUAAAUUAGGGUUCCCACUUUUGAUUCGAGGGUUAUUCAACUUUUAAGUUUUUUUUGCAUCUAUUGUAACAACUCUCAAAUCCAUUUCAGUAGUCACGGAGACACAAACACAUGAGAUUCACUCGCCAUUCUCUUCCUAUGACCAUAACUACCUUCGCUCCAAUCAACUAAGCUAUGACUGACACGGGGUGGAGCAGCAGUAACCUCAUUAGGGAGGGGUUUGUGCCAAGGGCAGAGGAGCCGAUGAUGAGAGAGUAGCCACGUUGGGGACUGACCUUGUAAGAAUAGGGAAGGACCUCACUAGGGGAUGGGACAAGCACUAGGGAGAGGAGUCACGCUAGGGGAUCGAGGAUGGGGUAAUAAGGGUCUCGUUGGGACGGGGAAGGACCUCACUAGGGGACAAGACAGGAGCUAGGGAGAGGAGCCACAACGGGGAAGGAUCUCACACAUAGGCGGACAAACCUCACUGUGAGAGCCACGCUACAAGGAGGGAGACCCCUUAGGAAGGGGCACGCCGCUAUAGGGAGGGGAGUCACACCACUAAGGUGAGGGGCCUCAUCAGGGAGAGCCGCACCAAGGGAAGGACCUCCUAGGGACGGUGGAGCAUGCAAGCAACAUCGGAUGUGGAUAGAUGGACACUAUCCUCUUGCAUGCUAGGAGGAAAACGAUAACAAGUGUCAGUUGAGGGCCUAGAGUAGGGUCCCAAGAAAAUGAGGACUAGGAGGAAAAUUUGAGGGGCCUAUGAGUUUUUUUUUCUAGUCAUCAAAUUUGGUUUUGAGGGGUCAAGUAGGUGUCCUGCUAGAGAAGGCACCUCUAAUAAUAGUGAGAGUUAGAUAUCGACUCUUAGAUCCAUCUCAUUCAUAUGUUUUAUUUAUAUAUUCUCUCGUGUCAAGAGAGAGAGAUAAUUCAAGUCUCUCAUACAUUUUAGUACGUGCAAAGAGCUCGGCUUUUCUCAACUUCUCUCCACGCUAGUUCCACGCUAGUUCAAAGGUUUUUGGCCUCUCUCCCCUUUGUGUGGUAUCUGAUACUAGCUUAGAGCAAGUCCAAGAGAAGAGCUAUCCAUAUCAUGUAUUCUAUAUUUGGCUAUUUUGGGAGAGAAAAGAGAGUCCAACAGCUAUUGUAUUUGGUUUGCUAAAAUAGCAAGUCAUCUAUCCCGGAGUUCUCGUAUGGUAAAUAUAGCUUGCAUGUCCUGCUAGCCAUAUGAUUUGCCGUAUAGAAAGACCGUUGGAGAUUUUUAUUUUUUUACAUGAUUUUCUAUUUUAGAGGUUGGCUAAAUUUUGAAUUUAGCCAUCUAUUUUUAUCAACUCUCUUAGAGUUGCUCUUAGAGUUGUCCAAUAGAGAUGCCCUUAGCUAGCUCCCAAUUUAGAAUAUACCUAGACUAGAUCGAUAUCAGGCUUGAGAACGCAUAAUAGUUAGAUAUUUAUACCUAGUAGAUCGUUGGGUUUUAAACAAUACCAUACCUUUUUUUUGAGGGGAAAACGAUACCAUACGUGAAAUGGCUCACAUGAAUAUUAGGCCCGAAAACGGUUAUUGGCUAAACAGAAUUGGGCCUUAAAUGGGCGAUUAAAACAGCAAUGAUGCCUCCGUAGACUAGGAAUCGCAUAGACAAAAAGCUGUGACAUGCAUAUGCCUCGGGUGGGCUAUAAACAGGCCUGCGAUGCAGGCCUAUACACAGCCCAAUUUUUUUUGUGAACAAUACACAGCCCAAUUUGUGUACGUACAAGUGCCGGUUGCUUUUUCAGUUUCUUGCCCCAUGGGAAGCAUUCCCCAAUCGAAUCAUCACGUACGUACUUGACUCUGAUCCAUCAUAACACUUGGUGUCCACUAUGCACGCUCGUAGGCAUUGUUUACUUCCACCCAAAAUCUAAAAUUUUUUCAAGAUUUCGCGUCACAUCGAAUCUUUAGACGUAUGCAUGGAGUAUUAAAUAUAAACGAAAUUAAAAACUAAUUGCACAGUUUGAUCGAAAUUUACGAGACGAAUCAUUUGAGCCUAGUUAGUCCAUAAUUAAACAAUAAUUAUCAUAAACAAACAAAAGUGCUACAGUGUACCGAAAAAAUUUCGGCAAGGAACUAAACAAGGCCGUAGUAUGCUGUUAUAUGAUGGAAUCUAAAGAGCCCCAUUUUCUCUUUUAUCUUACCCUCCAGAUCGAGGCCACAAAAUCCUAGGUACAGAACAUCGUCUGUCAGAUGCAUCUGGUUGCAGCAAAGAUCCACACACAUUACAUAGAAUACGUGCACAGCACCAAAUGCAUGCAACGGCAACAUAUGCAUGCAGCACAAUUAGUUGUACAGUUUCCAUGAUUUACAAGCAAGUCCGGAUUCUUUUACUUCAGUAAACCAUCCUCAUAUUGCAAUGAUGGCAUGAUGCAUAUAUAGAGCGGGAGUGGUUAAGGUCGAUGAAUAAUGAAUCACUGAUGAAGCAGGGCAGACAAGGACACGGCAGCGGCGGCAGAGGCACACUGAGCCCACACAGAUGAAAUGAGCAAAUAUAUAGUACGUCGCGUGUAUAUGUUACUAUAUCUUAUUACUUGAACACAUCACUCUCAUGACUCAUGGAUGGAAAACAUCAUGCAUACAGUACAAUAUAUAAUGGACACAAAAGCUAGUAGUAUUCAUUAUUCAGGAAACCUGUGUGCUAAAGCAACAAGGUUAAAGGCAAGCAAACCCCCAAGGACGACGUUGAGUGCUGCUUUGCUAGCCUGCUACACACACACACACGUACGAUCGAGGUACACGACGACAGCCACAGCGACGACAGAGUUGGUGUAAACUCAAGGUAGUAAACAGUAAAUACUAAUUAAACGGAGUGAUCACUAACAGGUACGGUGCAUGCAUGAUCUACUCCUUAAUUUAUGUAUCUAUCUCAUUGCAUGCAUCAUCCAUGGAGGGAGUCAUGGACGACAUCUGGUAAAACAACGACGACUGCAUGCUGAUCGCCAUCCAACGAGCAUGCCUCAUGCAUGUCCUUAUGAUCGAUCAUCAGUUGAUCCUGCACGUACAUAACAUGAAAGAUAUCAAAUCAUGGUUAUCACACUCGAUCAUUAGCAGAAAAUCACUCAUAAUCACUGUGCAUUCAUGCAUGCAUGGACGACAUAUUUAAUCAAUUGGACAGGGUGAAAAACUCAGCCUAGGAGGCGUCGUACUUGGAGCAGUCGACGUUGGGACUAAUGGGCACGCCGACGGAGACGCCGCACUUGGAGGGGAUGCUGGCGGCGUUACCCAUGCUGACGCCGCCGCCGCCGCCGAGCCUGCUCGUCAUGCUCUUGAGGCAGGCGCAGGUGGCCUGGCGGUCGGCCGUCGACGACGCGCGGCUGUUGAGCGAGCGCACCCCGGUGCAGCACGCCGGGGAGGGGAACGCCGUGGUGCCCAUCGCGUACCCGAGGCACGGCGCCACCGAGGAUGUCACGUCGCUGCAGCUCACCGCCGCCGAUGCCGGCUCCGAGGACGCCAGCAGCAGCGCCGCCAGGACCGCCACCGUCGUCGCGACCACCAGGGCGAGGCGUGGAGCAGCCAUUGCAGGACAGAAGAGCAGUGGGGGGUGGUGAGCUGUUGAUGGUGUAGUGGUGUUAAGUGAAGCUGUGAUGGAUGGAGCAAUGGUGGUGCCAGGGGUAGGGUAUAAAUAGGGAGCUUUUUACCUAUAUGUCAUUAUGAAAGAUUGACCAAACCAGGAAGCCACUAAAAAGUGGUUUCGCACCGCUGUGCCCAACUUCAUCUUCGGCUAUACCUGUAUGCCAUUCCGUCCAUUUUGAAGUCUAACGGCAGUUAAGUGGUCUGACAUUUGACUUGAAUGCCCCUGGGCCAAUUGGUCUAGACAACAAAAUCUUCUUGUCCCCAGUGCCACUGACUACCAAUUCACUGACUACCAAUUUCUACGGUGAGCGCCAAAAGGGCUGGACAGAACUGCAAAAGUGGCAUCUUUCAGAAGUUCUAAAUUCCCAUAUUACUUGAAAAAUUCUUUCAUGGUUUUUAGCAUCAUCCAACAGUAAAUCCCGUAGAUGAACAGAUUGAAGAACCCGAUUAAAGCCAUGCCACAAGCGAAAGAAAUGGAACAUGUUUCACAACAAUCUAUGAACUAUGAAAAUAAGGAACAUAAAAAAAAACCGCCAAUGUUUAUCUCAGCUACCUCUCAUUCAUUAGGUAACAUAAACAAAUACAUAGGCUUCCGUUCCAUUAAUGGUCCUUUGUUCCAAGAACACCACGCCAUACAUACUACGGGCGAACGCGACGAGGACCUGGAACUGGACGAGCUUCUGUCCGAGCACCGGAUGGACGAGGCGCUCCAGCUCCUGGAGCUGCGAGGCCAAGCGCUGCAGACGAUGCAGGAGCAGGCCGACGACGACGACGACGGAGCGAUCGCGUUCGCGUCGAGCGUGCGCGCGCUGUCCGCCACGAAGGCGAGGGUCGCCGCCCGCUUGGCCUCCCUGGCGGAGAACCCGCGGACGCCGCGGCCCGAGCUCCUAAAGGCGCUCUCGGGCCUCUGCAGGCUCGGCGACUCGGAGCAGGCGAACCACCUGCUCUUCCAGGUGCACCGCGCGAGCGUCGUCCGCGCGUGGAGGAGCUGCGCGCGUCGCGAGGCCACCACCAGAGCAUCGCCGGCGCCGGCGGCAACUACAUCAAGGACCUGGCGCCAGCGGACGCCGAUGCUGGCGGAGCCACCGAGAGCGCCGGGCCGGCCCUGGCGACCCCGCUUCCUCCUCGUCCCCUCUCCGCCUCAUGCUGCUGCUGCGGAGGCGGCGCGAGGGAGCCGGUGAGGAGCUGCGUGAAGGUCGUCGCGGCCCCGGAGGAGGAGUUGGCGCCUCCGCCUCCGCCGUCGUCGCUGUCAGAGGAGGGGAAGAGCGCUGAGGCGAGCGUGAGCGGGCCCGGGCUGGCGUCACCGGCGCCCGUAAAGAGCGACUCCGCCGCCGAGCGCGGUGGCAGCGCCAGGCGCCGGCGUUGACUUUGGUUUUGGAAGAGGCCGAGCGCGGCCUCGAACGCGGGCUGGAGGACCGCGUGAGGGGCGAUGGACUGGAAGGGCAAGAAGGACAUUUUCCUACCAAGGACCCACGUGCCAGACCACUUAAACGUCACAAAACAAACGGAAUGGGGACGGAAUGGCAUACGGGUAUAGUUGAAGAUGAAGUUGGGCACAGCGGUGCGAAACAAUUUUUUAGUGGCUUCCUGGUUUGGUCAAUAUUUUAUAAUGGCAUACAGGUAAAAAGCUCAUAAAUAGGACCUUGGUAACUCAUCACUUAUUCACUUUUUUUUUUGGAAUUCAUCACGUAAUUAUUUUUUUUUGAGACUGGAACUUCACCCGUUUUUCAUUAAUUAAGAGGGAAUUCAAUCACGUAUUCACUUGGAGAGUGUACGUGUGUGUGUGUGUUAGCUGGAAAUCUGAUGAUGUGGGGCGCGCGGCCCGGCUGGGGAGCUGAUGAGUGAGGCUUUUUGAUAUUGUAUCAUUUUCAUUUUUAUUUAACACAUAGUGUUCAAUCAUAAAGUAAUUAGAUCUAAAAGAUUCGUUUCACGAUUUAUAGAUGAUAAUCUGUACAAUUAGUUUUUGUUUUUAUCUAUAAUUAAUGCUUCGUGUAUGUGCCGUAAGAUUCGAUAUGAUAAAAAAAUUUGAAAAGUUUUUAGAUUUUUGGGUGAAUAAACAAGGCCCGAGUGAGUGCAGGUGAAGUGUUACUGCAGUGGUGGUUGAGCACGCACCAACCAGGGGGAUCGUACGUUUGAUGAGAUGUGAGAUGAGAUGCGAUGCGACGAGGAGAUGAAUGCAUGCACGUGAACCUGCUUCUCGUUUGUAUUCGGACUUUUGGUACGUACAAACAAAGCCUGUGCAAACGUUCAUCAUUGUGCUGCUUGUGCAUAUUGAUAUACACGACAUAUGCACGCUGCAUAUACCCUGUGUACUGUGGUGCCCGUGACUGCCGCCGGGCACAUAACAUAGGAGUAGUAUGAAGUCUUCAAAGUCACGACUGAAAGUCUUUUUUUUGCUAAUAUGUUGUAAAAAAACAUUUCUAAAUAAUUAUUAGUAGAUUCGGUAGAUGAUCUUAAUUAAUAAGUGAACAAGCUAAUGGUUUUAAUUUGUGCUGUGGACACAGCUACAUAGUACGAUGGGAUGGACAGUGUUUCCCACCAGCCUUACCGAGUUUACCGUGCAACGAAUACGCGCCCGUGACACACACACGCUGCAUAUGCAUGAGCCUUGGGCUAUAUAUACCAGUACGCGUACGUACGUACGUAAACGUACGGUCGUAUAUUGUACUCGCGCGCCUACAUAUAUCAUUCUCGGAAUCGUAACAUCCUCCCUCGCUCGGUCUGUCACGAUCAUGAACGUAAGACGUGUUCAUCAACUUUGGAACUGGUGCACAUAGUACUGCUAGGCUAGCUGAACGUACGUCCCAGCAAACACGUACGGAUAGAUAGAUGAUCCAGGACUAUUAGCAAUUAACUGCCUUCAAUUCUUAUGUCGCCGGCCGAUCGUACUGCAGCGCAUGCAUGCAAAUGCAAUAGUAGUAGAUAGAUAGAAUUGCAGUUGUUGAUAGAGCUAAGCAAAAGCACGCAAUUAAGUUCACCUUUAGCUUUUCUUUGCAUUGAACGUGUAACAUGCAUGUUCACAUCUUGAUGAUGGUAGCCUGAAAAUUCUGGUGAGGUAGUUGCCACCUAGCCAAGCAUUGCAUGAACCAACUACUACUGUACGUCCUCUCCGUUCUACAAAGAGAAAGGAGUACAUUUUUAACAUUCUAAACUUGUCUAUAAACCUGUUCUCUCUCUCUCUCUCUCUCUCUCUCUCUUCCACACCACCCAAUCCCUUGACCUCCCUCCCUCCCACAACCACUUUUAGCGUCUUGCAUUUGAUGGCAUAGGUUACGAGGACUCAUAGCAUUUUCAACAUUUUGUUCUAAACUUAGGAUACAUUCUAACAGGAAAUCAGCUCUAAGUAUUUCUCUUCUUCAACAGUUACCAUAUAUAUCAUCUUAAAUAAUAUAUAGGAUGGACAAUAUAUAGUCCACCAUCAAUAUAUCCAUCCACCCACAUAACCCCUCUCUCUCUCUCUCUCCCCCACACCACCCAAUCCCUUGACCAACCUUCAUCCCCACAACCGCAUUAGCAUAUUGCAUUGAUUGCCUCGGUUACAUUCUAAAUCCUUAUAUAGGAUACAUUCUAAUAAAAAAACGUCUCUUCAUAUUUAUUUUUUCUUCAAUGGCUACUGCGUGUCAAAUACUCCAUACAACAUCUUGAAUUUGUAAAGAAGAGAGGAUAAUUUAGGAUACCACUAAAUAUCUGAUAUUGAAUAAGAGGGCCACUGAAGGAUGAUUUUUGUAACAUAAAUCUUUAUUUAAGCUCUAGGGAGACAAAUAACAGGAACUCUUCUAGAUAUCCUUAGUUACCGAGAGCAGUGAGGUUAUUUCUCUUUAUAAUUAUUAUAUUUAUUGAAAUAAGCUACAAAUCGUGUCUUUGCGUGGGACAGGGAUAACAUUAAAGAUAUUAAAAAGUUUUGUCAUUCCAUCAUAUAUAUAUAUAUAUAUAUAUAUAUAUAUAUAUAUAUAUAUAUAUAUAUAUAUAUAUAUAUAUAUAUCCCCACUUUCUUGGUGUGGUGGUACACAAGGGAGGAUACCAUGUUACCUACUAGUACUAGGUUUAAUUAAUUUAAAUUCUGGCACGUGCUAACGGCGUUUAAGAGCAUCCCCAAAGAGUCUUUUUAGAAUUUACUCCAUAGAUUAUCAUUUAGAAAGUCAUUUAAGUGGAACAUCGUUUUCUAUAUAUUUGCAUCCUUCAACAGUUUUUACUAUAUCUUGCGCGCAUUUAGAGACUCAUUCUUGCUUUAAUUUUCAUCUUUGGCUAGUGAGAAAUCUAGAGUAGAGGAUGUCUAUAUUGAAGAUCUAGUUAAUUGAAGAGGUUUGGAGAGUUUUUUUUACCAAAAUCUCUAUUCCUACAAAGUAUAAAAGAUAUAAAAAUUCUUUUGGAGUUGUUCUAACCAGUUUUGUAUGUGUGGGUCAUCUUGAAAUUAAAAAAAAUACAGGCUUCGAAACUAGGGUGUCAUUUGAGAGGCAGCAUACAAAACAAUUAUAAUAAAAAAUCAUUUAUUUUCAGCCAUUAUUUCUUUUUACAUUUUUGAGAAAUAUUAAUUCUUGUACUGUACAUUUUAUGGGAAUUAAUUAUUUUUACAUUUUGUUUUGAGCAACAUUAAUUAUUUUUACAUUGAAUUUGGUAUAAACAGUGUCGAGUUGAGCGAUGAAGGCCUCAGUUGGGCUGUUGUUGUCCAUGGAGUUAUUGGAGUAGUGGGCCUAGCUGGUCCUACUUUUUUUUUCCUGUGUGUGUUGCUGCUUACCCGUUACCACGUUUACUAUUGGGCCUCCAUUAAACUAAUUCCGGAAUGAUCCAUCAGCUUCGCGCCGUGCACACGUGUGUAUACAUGUACACGGCAGCGCUAUUUUAUAUCCUACUGUUAAGUUGACCAGAAAAAAAAUACUUCCCUCCGUUUGUGUUUACUUGUCACCAACUUUUUACUGUAGCAAAUUUGACUAUCUAUUUUUUUUCUUCUAAAAAAUCUUAGAUACUUCAAUAUAUAUAACACUAAUGAAGUAUAUUCAAUAAAGAAUCAUAUAUGUGAAAACUUGAUGUAUCUAAAAAUCUUUUGCAGAAAAAAACAUAUAGUCAAAAUUGCUACAGUAAAAGUUUGGUGACAAGUAAACGCAAACGGAGGUAGUACUAAGCAGUACUCAGUUUCACGAGUACGAACGAUAUUGAAUUUUGUUUAGGCCGUGUUUAGUUCCUACAGCGAAAAAAAUCACGACACUGUAGCAUUUUUGUUUGUUUGUGGUAAUUAUUGUCCAACUAUGGACUAACUAGGCUCAAAAGAUUCGACUCAUAAAUUUCAACAAAACUGUACAGUUAGUUUUUAUUUUCCUCUAUAUUUAAUACUCCAUGCAUACGUCUAAAGAUGCAUGCGUCUAAAGAUUCGAUGUGAUGGGGAAUCUUGAAAAAUUUUGGAUUUUGAGGUGGAAGUAAACAAGGCCUUAGUAUAACAGUUCGGUGUAGAAUAGCACUAUACACUCUAAGAGUAAAAUACUAUUCUACACCAAACUAUGUGUGAAUUAUGGUAAAAGAUCUGUACUUCUACACCAAACUAGAGUGGCCGGCCGGGGUGCUUCUGAUCGAUGAUGAGUGAGCUAAGUAGGGUUUAUAUAGGGAGAAGUGGAAGGCCUUUAAUUUUUCCAUAUCUUUUCCUUAACUUCGGAUCGAAAGAAAAGAACGCAUCCUUAAUAUCAUGCAUGUCAUCAUCAUUUCUUUAGCAACAAAACCCUUAAUCUCAUGCGUAACGUCGGCAUAUGAUUAGAGAGCGUUUUAUUUGUAACUUGUGAUCUCCCUUUUUACCGGCCUCUGCCUUGGACUGAGGAUGGAAAUCUGCCAUGGCGGCCAAGGUCGAUUCAUCUGAUCAGCACGCAGUAGAUAUGUGAGUUGGGAGAGAGUAGUACUGUAGUGGUGGUGGGUUUCGUGUGGGAUUCUGCUUAUGCUGAGUGAGGUUAUUAAGGCAGUGAUUGCUGAUUAGUGAGGCGCGCCAUAAGUUAACAACGAAAACCUACUUAGGACCUUGGAUCCACAGAGCUAAUAUUUAGUUGCUAAAGAUAAAAAUAUUCAGAUGCUAAUAAUUAGCUUGUUUGGAUCCAAACGGGCCGGUCUAGCUAAUUAUAUUAGACAACUACCUCACUACUUGAUCAAAACUAGCUAAUAAUUAACUAUAGCUAAUAUUAGCUAUGAGCUAUUAGCUAGCUAACUAUUAGCAGCUAAUGAAUCCAAAUAGGGAUUUAAUUUAUCACUAAGCCCCAAUUUUCUGUGAAACCUUUGGAUGAUUCAAGUAGUGUGAGAUUAGAGGGAGCGUUUCAGAACUAAAGUUGGUGGCCAUGGCUUAGGAUCUGAGUGGUUUUUUUUCCUUGCCUUUUUUCUAAAAUAAAAGAAAAACAGGCAGGAGUUCUGCCCUGGAUUAAGGAUGGAUCCAGUUUCAGUUUCAGUCAGGUUACGCGAGACUGUGAGAGUUAGUCCAUGGUGCAUGGUAACAGCUUGAUGCUAAACUCAUCCACGUUUCAUUUCAUCUCUGCUGAUCAUCAUCAUUCAUCCACUAACUAGCUAGCUACCACGAUAAAUAAACUGAAGAAGAAUAUUGCACCAACAUUUUAUUGCGGGUUUUCAUCAUGGCCUGGAUGAUCUGCAAAUUUCAGGGCCAUGCUUCUCCAUUGCUUCAGAUUCGACGGUGCUACAAGCCGGAGUGCAACCUCCGAUCCGUCAGUCAGUGUAGGACAUGCACGUCCAUACAUGUCCUGUCCAUCAGCAAGAGAAUGCCACAGGCCGCGGUAGCAAAAGCCAGUGGCUGGACGCUGCUUGUUUUGGUUGAGUUGGUGCCUGACAUUUCAGACCUCCCUAGCUAGCUUAAAUACAUGGAAGGGUACCACGUACACCACACAUGCAUAUAGUAUAGUAUAUGCACGAACUAGUAGCACGUAUCUUCAUAGCUUUCGGAGUAUGUUCUCAGGACAAACCUUUCUGUACAUGGCUCCAACAAGCAGAUGUUUCUUUCGCUCGUCCUCUCUUUGCGUGCAGAUGUGCAGUAACAAUACGCAUCUAUCUAUUACUUUCAUACAAAAAUGCAGCCUACUUCACUGAAUUAUUGAGCACUUUUCUUUUCUUUUUUUUUUACAACGAUGAACUGUGAUUUUCGAUCAGUAUGGGAACCGUCGACGGCCAAUGACUUCUGUUGCUUGACUUGUUUGUUGCACUUUCAAGUUCCAAGCGAGGCUACUCUUGAUCUGAUAGCAAGCAGAACAGAGGGAUAAAAAUGUAUAUGACAUUGUGGUGUCUGGUGGGAGCAGAAUUUGCCCUGUUUUGAGCACUUUCAUUUCAGAGAUAGACACAGAGUUUGCUCUACAGACUACAGAGAAUAAUCCAACGAUAACUAAGUACACAUUGAGUGCAAGAGAUUGCAUCACUAGAGCUAAUGUAUAGGGUAGCCUUUGGGCAAUCUGUUGCAGCCGAAUUUGUUGAGGAUAAUCCAAAAAGAAACACUUACCACAUUGUCUUGUAAAACAGUGCUGCCAGAUCAAUAAAGUUUCAGGACUUCAGACAAUCCUUUGGGAAUAGAAACGAUCUGUCAUCAAUCACUACCUUUUGAAUCACAGAUAGGAGUAUGAAACAAGUAUGCACUCCAUAGUGGCCUACAACAUAAAAGAAAGUUUGCUUUAGAACAUUUUCUCAAACUCGAGUUUGCUUUUGAACAUAAAAAGUAUUAUUCUGAUCUGCAACAAAGUUGAGUAAGGAAUGGAGAAUUACCAACAACACGGCCAAUGGAGCUACGAUCCCUCAGCGAUAAGACCCAGCACACAAGAGGGGCUCCUGCAGUUCAGACCGUUCAUUGCUCCAUGCAGUUUGUGACAACUGUAUUUGGUUCUCUAUUUUACAUGAACUUGACUGUGCGCAGCAUGCUUUGAACCGCUGCAUCCAAUCACCUUUGUUCUCAGAUGUUCAACAUCAUCCCACCGUUCUGCUUCUGCAUACGCAUUUGAUACUGUGAUAACAUCCCCAUCAUCCAUUGGCAUCAACUCAUGCAUUCUAUGAACAGCUCUGUCAGCAAUGUCAAAAUGCCCAUGCACUCUGCAUGCAGCCAUAACCAUCUUCCACAGCACAGAGUUUGCCUUGACGGGCAUAUCAUUGAUCAUUUGAUAAGCCUCGUGAACUUUACCAUAGCGGCAGAGCAUGUUGAUUAUACAGCCAUAGUGCUUCAUGCUUGGCACAAUUUUGUAGUCUUCGAUCAUGCUCUUGAAAUACACUCUCCCCUCAUUCAAUAGGCCGCUGUGGCUGCAAGCAGUCAAAACACCCAAAAACGUGACAUGAUCAGGCUCAAUAUUCAUAAGAUCAAACAGCUUAAGGGCAUCAUGCGAGUGGCCAUGGACUGACAACCCAACAAUCAUCGUGUUCCAGCAUGUAACAUCCUUGAUUGACAUGCUGUCGAAGACUUGUCUGGCGAGCUUCAAGUUACCACAUUUUGCAUACAUAUCAACCAGAGCGUUGCCAACAUACCCAUCAGCUUCAAUUCCUUUGCUCUUAAGGUAAUCAUGGAUUCCCCUCCCCAGCUCUAGCUCACCCACCUCCGCACAAGCCCCAAGAGCCGACACGACUGUUAGCUCCGUGGGUUCGAUGUCAUUCUUCCACAUAUCUCGGAAAACGUCUAGUGCUCGGCUAUACAUCCCGAGCUUUGCAUAUCCACUAAUCAAUGAGUUCCAAGAUAUGACAUCCCUCUCAGGCAUGUCUCUGAAAAUUCUCGCUGCCUCGACCAAAUCCCCGAGCCUCACAUUUCGCAUGAUCUCAGAGUUCCACCAUGAUAUGUUCCUUUCUGGAGUUGCCUGAGAGACACGCUCUGCACCCUGCAAGUCUCCAGAGACACCAUGAGCCACGACAAGUGCAUUCCAGGAGACGGCAUUCUUCACAGGCAUUUCAUCGAACGCCUUCCUCGCCUCCCCCAGACGACCGAACUGGCCGUACAUGGACACGAGCGCGUUCUGCACGUACCGAUCCUGCCCGCAUCCCAGCUUCAAGACGCGGCAAUGCAGCUCGGCGCCCUUGGCAGCAAACACGGCGGCGCGAGCGCGACGGCUGAGCCUGAACGCGCGGGCACAGGAUUUGAGGAGGGCCGGGAAGGCGGGGAGCGGGGUGGGGAUGGAGAGGGAGGAGACGUGGUUGAAGAGUGUCAGCGAGGCGGACGGAGCCGGCGACGAGGAGAAGGCGGAGAUCACGGGGCAGAAGAGGGACGGGGAGAGCACGCACGGAGGCGCGGCGAGGAGGAGGGAGAGGGAUGACGGGGAGGCGGGCGGGAGGUGAGAGAGGAGACCGGCGAGGCAGGCAGGGUGGUGGAGGAGGUCGAGCUUGGCGAGCAGUGCGUGGAGUUGGUGGCCAGUGGCGGCGGCGGAGCUCCGGCGGGGGAGGCGCCGGAGGAGGCGGAGGACGGCGGCCGGAGUGUACGGGUCGGGUGGCGCCGGUGAUCGCAUGGGCUGGCUGUUCGCAUUGCUGGUGGGCUGAUGGGCCGCAGGGUCCACUACAGCUCUGCUUGUCCCGACAAGUGGGCCCAGAAGAUUUUGCUAGGAGUACAUUAGGUGCUGUGUGCUUCCAUGCCAUUUUACAUGCUGCCAUGCUCCCAUUUCAAAAAAGACCAUCAAAAUGUGCAUGUUUUUUUUUAAAAAAAAGUACGGAUACAUGAUGAAAAAAAUGCAUGCUCAUGCAAAAUUUGAGAUCUACCGGAAUGAGGUCUAGUUGAAGAACUUAAGUUUAUGUGUAGUUCUAAUUUCGUUGAAUUUUCUUGUAAUUUCGUAGGUAGGGCCAGAAACUGAGCUGCCCAUGUGUGUUGGCUGCUUUGGUUAUGAGUGUAUUGAGGGAAAGCGCUUAAAAGCUCUAUCCCAGAUGAUGUUAAGCCGCCAAAUUAAAAAAAAUAGAUAUAACAGAGUUUUAUUUGAGGAGGAAAAAACAGAAAACUAGCCUGAAAUAGAAACAUAUCGCGGGACUGAAUGAACAUUUCGCUCUAACCCAAUUGCAGGUUCAUUAUCUUAUUUUCUCCUAGCACAAAACUUUGUUGAACCUAAAACUUUGCAUGAACAUGUACCUUUGCAUCAUGUACCCAAUACAUUUUUGGUUGAUUUUUCAUGCUCAUUUUGAUGAUUUUUUUAAAAAUAGGAGCAUGGGUGCAUAGGAUACAAACUCCUGUCAGCAUACAACGGUGAGCGGGGGCAGUAAGCUCUUGCUACUAGCAAGAUAAAAUGUGAAGGGUAAAGAAAAAGUAGGUAAUAGCAGCAUACAACAAUCCAAUACCAGCAUAAGCACAUGCAGCAACAACAAGGCAUGCAACACCACCACCACCACCACCAGUAUCCGGACCAGACAGUGUUGGUGGCAGCCAUCCUCUAGGCCCACCACGGUGAGCGGGGGGACCACCAUGGCCACACUCAAUAACAUUGAUAGUAUGUCGUCGGCUCAUUCCAAGCCUACCAUGACAAUGGUGGUUGGCGAGGCGAGGGCAGCCCAAAGGCGACAUUGGUGUGGUGAGGCCCAGUGGCGGAGCCUCUUGGAGGUGAAACUAGACAGUUGCCCCCCUGUCUCCGAUGGAAAAUGAUGAGUAGUAUGUGCAGUUCACAGGAAAAGGAGAAAAGGAAUACCUACAGUCUACAAUAAGAGAAGAAAAGACAGAGAGCAAGGAAAGUGAUGCCUGAGAACAUAUGGCUCAUGGGAAUGUGUGCUUUGUGUGUUUAGAUUCUUGCUUAUUUUUAGCUGAAGUUUAAUAGCUACAGUAGUCUAUUUUGAAAUUAGCCCCUCCUUGAUUUUCAUUCACCCUCCGCCGCUGGUGAGGCCAUCACCGGUGGAGGUCAUGUAGGUCAGAGGUGAGAUCUAUGGGGGUGAAGGCGAAACACGGAGAGAGAUGGGUGAUUUAGUGGAAAAAGAGAAGGAAUAUUUUCUAGCAUUUUUUUCAUGUGGACCCCACUUGUUGACAAGUGCACUAUAAAGAAUCUACAACAACUUACUAGCGGCUGGCACAUGGCUCAGUAGCUCACAACUCUAUAAUCCACACAUAGGUAAGAUACAUUGUCUACCCUUAUAUACCUAUAUUAAUUGAAGAGAAGCUCAACUUUUAAAUUAAAAAAAAUCAAAUGCACUAUGUAAGUGUGCACGUGUGUGCAAUCGUGUUAUUGAGCACAAAGAUAUGAGUACUAGAAAACUCCAUUGGUGGAUGGCAAUGCGACUUCUGUAACCAACUUAAAAGCACAUCAGUACCGAGUUCAAAUGUGAUCGAUGAUGACAAUUAGAGGUGUUGAGGGUUCUAGGAUUUAUGAGGUAUGGACAGAGGAAGAGCAAGAGCAAAAUAUAGGGGUUUCAUUUAUUUGCCAUAUGGAUAUAUAUAAUUAUAUUUAUAUUGUAGAGGUAUAUAUACAGUGAAAAUUCGAUCAUAAUUAUUAUUUUUAAGUUUUGAUUUGCCCCCCUUCCCCCAUCCUCCCUCUUCUCCAUGCUAAAGAUAGCAUCAUCCUCUAGUCACCAAGUAGCUUAGGCAAAGAGAGGGGGUGGGGUUGUAACAAGGGGUGUCAUUGAGAAGAUCAUUAGCGAGGAUGUGGUAGCAGAAAUAUGAACAACAAGCGGCGUGGAUGUUUGAGGAGUCUAAGAAAACCUAGUUGUUGGUACAGAAUAGAGAUAUGGUGAUGUGGCAGGGUAACUGAGAAAACGCAGGAAUAUCCAAGGUGAGAGAGGGUGGAAGGGGGCAUUCAAUAAGUGAUGUGUUUCCCAGAUUUGCUCUUAUAAAUUUGUACGAAUUUCUCUCCUAUUGUGAGCUAUGUUGUAGUUAUUUUUCACCCACUGUACAUCUUUAUUAUUUGGUGUUCAGAACAAAUAAAAUUACUAAUGGCAACAUUUUUAGCAAAGAUAAUAAUGCCAAGACAUAGUUUCUGCUUGCUAUGUUGAUGCAAUAAUUUAUAGGAGUCUUAAUUCUUUAACAUAAUUGACCAGUCUUAAAAUGACAUAUCCUAUGGUUUUAAGUACCAGCCUUCCAAAACAAGUGGGAAACUAAAAAGAUAGGUAAAUAAAUCUUUUAUAUAUACAAUUGGAAAACUAAGAAGCUAACAAAUAUAUCAUAUAUACAUUGGCACAACUGAUAUAUCAUUUAUAAACACCUAUAUACAUGGAAAACUUAUUACAACCACAAGUGUGCUCUUGUUUUUUCAAACCUCGAAGAAGCUUCAAUAUAUUAUGGUAGAUAUCCUUAGUUUUGAUACAUGUUCUGGCAUUUAAAUAUGGUAUCCUUAUUUUUAAUACAUGUUAUGACAUUUAAACAUGGUGCAAGUCUUUGUCAUCUACCUAUAUUGUAAGAUUACCUAAUCAUAAUAUAUUAAUAUAUUAUUAUACACAACAAACUUGUAAAAGAAUAAAAGGUAGCAAAAGGAAAUUUAUAUGUCUAACAAUUUUAUCCAUAUUAACAAUAGCUAACCUCAUGUAGUCAUGUGUCUACAACUCUAGCUUCUAUGAUGGAAUGACAAACCCCCCCCCCCCAAAAAAAGAUUCUUGGGGCUAGAUGCAGCAAACAUGCCCUAUGCACCCUCAUCUUCUUGUCAUACUAUCAUCCAAGGUUGAACUAGACUUGAUUAUGGGCCACACAACAUGACCAAUCUGUUUUGACCCGCCCAAAAGAAACCUAACCCGGUAGUGCAUCAGGUCAAGUUGGGGUCAUAAUAUUUGACUCAAGAUUGGAUCCAACCUAAAAACCUAAAGCAAAGUAGAAAAACCUGAGAAAUAGCUUGACAUGACCCUACCUGUCGUGCAUCAGGUCUAGCUUGGGCCAAAAAUUUUGAAAACCAACAUUUUUUCAACCUGACCCGACUUUGAAGGGAAAUUGGGCAAGACACAAAGUAUAGCUUGUGUAUCAAUGAUUUUAUUAUCUUUUCAUUUAACCAAUAUGCUUUUCUUUAAUGGCUACACAAGACAUUGAUUUUACCAACCGUGUUCAUCAAAUAACACAUAUCAUAUUCUAGACUCUCCAUGUAGUUGGUGGUUGGUGGCAACAGUGCAGGGCUCUAGUUUUUAAUGAUGAGUGGGUGUAGAAGAUGACCCAACACAAAUAAAAAAUAAUGGGAGUUUAUCAAUGUGAAUGAAAAAAAAGAAAUUACAACUUGUUGUUUGGAAAAUAACACAGAGAGGAGAGAUACAUUUGACAUAGGAUUUUUGACUCAUAGUGGAUCAUUAACGAUGAAGAGAGUUAGAAAUAAUCAAUUCAUUUUCUUUUAAAUAAAUUAAUAUUUGAUGAUAUGGACCCUCAUUCUACCCUAGGGCUUGAUGGCAUGCAUGUGGUAUUUUACAAAGAGUAUUGGGACUAGGUAAAAGAGGUGAUGUUAUAAAUAUUCAAACUACAUAUAUACAAAUGUACCCAACUUGGGGAGACUUAAAUAAGAUCAAAUCUCUCUAAUUCCAAACUUAAGGGAGACCAGUACUAUAAAACGAUAUAGGCCAAUAUACUUACUCAAUGUGGAUCACAAGUGGUUUACUAAAGUAUUAUUCGCAAACUCGCACUAGUAGUAGAGAAGAUCAACACAUACAUUCAAAGGGAGUGCUCAUAUACAUGAACUUUCAUACCUUUGGGGUGCAUAAAUUAUUCCCAUUUCAUGUGUUUUUCUCUAUGAAAAAACACUGAUUCAUGUGACAUUACUAUGUGAUUCCCAUGAAAUUCCUGCAUUCCAAAGGGACCGAGUGAAAAAUGCUAUUAUUUAAAGUUGGAUUUUGAUAAAUCUUACGAUAAGAUAGAGUGGAAAUUUAUAUGGGAGAUCUAGAGAGUAAAAACUUUGCUAGGGAAUGAAUGGAGAGUUUGGAUGAGACAACUUAUUUAAGGAAGAAGAGUGGGUAUCACCAGUGGCGUUCAUGGAAAUUCUUUUUAAGGGAUUGAGACAUGGUGAUCCACUCUCUCCAUUGAUGUUCUACCUUGUGCGAGAUGCUCUAUAAACUGUUGUGGGAUGCUAGGGAUUGUGUACAUAUUAUUAGAGGACUAAUUCCCCAUCAUAUAGAUGGAUGUAUUACACUUAUAUCCUGCAUAUGAUGCAUUCAUUUUUUAUUGAAAAUGAUGGAAGGUAUUGCUAACAUCAAAUUUCUGUAAUGUUGUUUUGAGACUAUAUUUGGCCUAGAAAUCAACUAUCAAAUGAAUGAGGUGUUUAUAGUAGGAAUUAAUGAACUCGAGUAGGAAAAAUUAUAGAUGUUUUUAACCAUAAAACAAGGCACUUAUGAAAUACCUAGGCAUUCUAGUUGAUGUGUAUUAUACGAAUAUGGAGAAGUUUGGGUAUGUCUACCAAAAAAUAGAGAAGAGAGACCAACAUAGCAUAGUUGUAUGCUAUCCUAUAUGGACGAAAAAUAAUUUUGUGCGAAUCAUGCCUAAGUUCAAUCCCUAACUAUGUGAUGGGUAUGUUCAUUUUUAUGAGUGCACAAAUGGAAACUUCUAGAGAAACCUUUUUAUAACAUGGGCAAGGAAUAAAAAAGGCAUCAUAUAGUGAAAUGACGUAUUUCAUACACCAAAAGAGAGAUGGGUUGACUUGCUUUUACUUACACCAGAGUGAUGAAUAAGCGUCUUCUAGCGAAAUGGACAUACAAAUUGGAAUAGGGAGACAAUAGUCCAUAUUGUGAGUUGCUCAUAAACAAGUAUUUUGGAGAAAAAGUUUCUUUAGUUCUAACGACUAACGUACAAUAGAGGUGGUUCAUAGUUUUGAUUUGGGCUACAAGAAGCUAAAAAUGAGUUUCUAAGAUGAUUAAAUCACAUAGUUCAUAAUGGGAAAAGACAAGAUUUUGGCUAGAUGUUUGGUAACUAGUAGGAUUGGACUAUGGUAAAAGUAAUGAGGGGAGAUAAGAUGAAGUUAAGUUUUAGGAGGAAUAUUGGCACAAUUGAAUGCUCAGAAUGGGAUGAGAGCAGAUCUAAUAGACUCAGUUAUACUUAGUGAUGAGGCAAAUACACUAUCUUGGGCGCUUGAUAAAUCUAGAGAAGUGUAAGCUAUGUGGACUAAGAGAAACAUGCGAUCAUAUUAUUAUUAAGUGUAUUGUUGCACAUUUUGUUUGGUGGUGUUAUAUAGAAGUGCUUCUGGAAUACUAUGCCAAUGUUCACACAAAGAUUUUCUAGUUGGAUAUCAUGUAUGCUCAAAAUAAAAGGAAGAGAGAGAUUUUGAUUUACUUGCUGGAGUGUAUAUGUUGGAGUCUCUGGUUAUUAAAAAUGGUAAAGUAAUAGAAAUGUAGUUGUGACUUCACCUCACCAUUCAUUGUUCUCUCUGAUUUUUAUGUAGACAUGGAACAUUCUCCUAAAGGCACAAUAUCGAUGAUGGGUGUGUUCCAUGUAGUUUUAUGUAGACAUGGAACAUUCUCUAGCACCUUCAACAAGCGAUGAUCCUGCGCCUUCAGGAGAAUGUUCAAUGUAGUUUUAAUGUAGAGGGAGUUUCCGUAUGGUUGUGAUAACAUUUGCUUCAUAAGUUUGUGUGACAAACCCUAUAAGCUAGUGUCCCAACCUAAAUUGCUUUCUAUAUAAAGUUGGGCUGAUCUGUCUAUGGUCUAAAAAAAAUAAAGGAUAUGAGAACUGGAAAACCUCAUCAAUGGAUUUCAUGGGACUUUGUGAGCAAAUGAUUGGAUAACCCAUGACACCACGUAGAUUCAAAUAUGAUGGCGAUGAUGGAGGUGGUCAGGGUUAGGGUGCUUAAGGGGUUUUCCAUGUACGGUUCUAAUCGCUAAUACCAAACUUUGAAGUUGCAACUAAGAAAUUAACGGCGGUGGUCUAGGAAGCAAUAUAAAUGGGUGGUGCCAAUUGUCAAGAGACCAUUAUACAACAAAUGCAUGGUGAUAAAAAUAUUUGUGGCAACCUAGUGGUGCAGGAACAAGAGGUGGCAAUGGUUUGCUUGGAUGUUGCCGGAGUUACUAGCUUGUUGGUGGACGAAGAGGAGAUUGAGAUGCGAUAGGGCAGCCAUGAUAUUACUAGAGUAGCCAAAGGCAUCAGUAGUAGCAUGCUAUGCUUAGCUUGCAUCGUUACAAAAUAUAUAUAUGAUGUUGUUAGUUUGGAUAGCUACCUUGCAAUCGUAAUAUAUUUUUGAGUGUUCACAACUAAUAAAUGACUAAUGGCAAUAGUCUUAACAAAGUGAAUAAUACCGACAACAUGAUUUUUCGAGUGCAUAUUACUUAUUACACAUGAUUUUAGGUUUCGUAAGCUAAAUAUUGCAGAGGAUAAGCUUAUUAUCUUUCAUACAAAGAAAAGAAACUUCAAUAUAUCUCCUUAUUAGUCAUGAUAUAAAUCCACGAUGUGCAUCAUUUCAUAAGAUAUAAAACGGUGUGGAAGUCUUUGCCAUAUACCACUAUCGCAAUUAUGACCAAUAAUUAUCCCAUGACAAUUUGUAGAAAAAGGAUAGCAUAAGAAAAUUUAGAUGGUAUAUUUCCUAUAUAUAUAUAUAUUUUAAAUUAAAGAUGUUUUGGCUUUUCUCCUAGAUACAUAUAUUUGUUUUAUUACUAUGUAUUUAGACACAGUGUAUGUCUAAGUAUAUAGCAAAAGAUACAUAUCUAGAAAUAUUAAAAUAUCUUAUAGUUUAGAACAGAAGGAGCAGUAGACUUAGCCAUAUCUACAUACUAUUGCUAACCUUGUGUGUCUAGAGGCUACAACUCGGCUCUAAGAUAUUUUACAAUAAGCUCGCAUGUAAUCUAGAAUUUUUUAGAUAGUGAUUUUGAAGAGACGACGAACUCCAAAAGAUUCUUUAGAGCAAAAUUUACAGGACCAAACCGUUAAUCUUCUGGCCACAUGAACUAAUCCGGCUGUGUGAAGGGGAGAAAUAUUGACACACCGUGUAUUUUUUUUUUGAGUCACCGUGUUAGUUCUUUCGAAAAUUAUGAUUUUUAGCGUCACAAUUUUGACCAUCGGCUGUAACGUCUCUCAAUGGGUUAGGUAGUGGGGUACAUACGACAUAUUUUACCAACUCUGUAAACAUCGUCAAAAUUAAAUAACUAGUAGCAUCAUCAUCAUUACUCUGAUGCGUUUCAAGGAUGCCGCCAAAUUUAGGCGGCGAAAUGCCAUUUUGAAUUUCAAUUUCAAAUUCCCCGUGGGCGCAGCCGCGGCCUGCACACCAGGAUACCCUCCCAAGCCGCCGCCGCCGCCGCCGCCUCCUCCUCAUCUUCUUCCUCCUCGUGUUCGUCUUGUUCCCCUCCGGCCGCGCAGGUUGAUUUGAGCGGCCGGCGUCGAACCGAAUCCCAUCCCAGGAGGACCAUCAAAAGCCGCCGCGCGCAGACAUCCAUCCAUCAUCCCAUCCCGCCCGUGGUCGCCAUUGCUCGCCGCACAGGGCAGACGUGUGCACACCGCACACGCCAACUCACUCGCCAAGAACAGAAGAGGGAACAGGAAACUGACGAGCUGACGAGAGGGCGAGAGCGACAAAAAAAACUGACCCUUUCUCUCACGUUAAAAUCCCCCCCGCUCCCCGUCUGCGCUCUCCACACCCCCCAGCAAUCCCUACCCUAAUCCCUCCCCCGCCGCCGGCGCCCAGAUCGCAUCUGCGCCCUCGCCGAUCGCCUCCCGUAACCCCCACACAGCGCAAGCUCCUCGCGCCGUUCGUCGAUCGCCGGCUGAAGCGCCCGCCGCCUGUAAGCGGUUGGCCGCCGGGAGGAAGAGAGGCUCUCCGCUCUCGUAGCGUGUUUCGGAUCGGGCUCCCGCGAUCGACCAUGGUGGACGUCGCUGAGUGCUCGGCGGCGCCCGUGCCCGUGCCCGAGGACGAGGUCGAGCCGGCGCACCCGGACCCCUCGUCGAUCCCGCCCGACGCCUGGCGGCGCUUCGAGAGCGCCGCGCUUGGUGUGGUGAACAAGAUCCAGCCCACCGUCGCCUCCGAGAACUUCCGCUCCGCCGUCAUCGACUACCUCAAGCGCCUCCUUGGAUCCCGCGCAGGGGUUCAGGUACUCUACUUGCUCUGCUCUGGAUCUACCUUCCCUGCGGCUACAGUUUUGUUUUGCAGUCCUAGUGUUCUAGUAUAGCUUAGAGCUCUCGGGCUUUACGCAUCAGUGUCUAGAUGUUUGCUCAGUCUCUGCUGCGAUAUGAGCAGCCAUAUCUGGGUGCUUUGGGAGGAAUUUAGUCACUACUGUCUCAGUGCCCUUGUUCAUGUUUUAGGUCAUGGAAUUGAAUAGUUAGGGUUAACAUGCUGGCUGUGUGUUCCUGCUGUAGAGUUGGUUGUUGCCAUUCUUGCCAUUUCAUUUUUAUGUGUUUUUUGGCGCGAAACCGGUAUAUAUAAGAGCUUGUGUUUUUAAAUUCUUGUCGUUUGUUGCGUGUCAAGGUGCGUGAUUAUGAGUAUAAAUGUGUAACGGUAUGGAUAUACUUUGUCGGUUGCGCACUUGAGUCUCUAUGUGAUUUGGUGAGUAGGACUACAGGACCUUUUAUGGCAUACAAAACCUAGAUGUUUCAUCAGUCUCUGCUAUGCUGAAAGCUUGUCAUAUCCUUCAGAUCACUCCAAUGGCUGUUUGGGUGCUUUAGGAGGAAUGAGUGCUUUAGGAUGAAUCAGUCAUUACUGUCUCAGUGUCCCUGUUCAUGUUUUAGGUCAUGGAAUUGAAGUUAGGGUAAACAUGUUGGGUGUGUUCCUGCUGUGGAGUUGGUUGUUGCGAUGCUUGCUAUUUAAUAAUUGCUGGCAUGUGAUUUUUGGUGCGAAACUGGUAAUAUAGCGAGCUCUUGUUUUUAAACCCUUUUCAUUUGUUGCUGGGGUCCUUUAGGUGUCAAGUGAUUAUUGGUGAUGAGAGUAUAAAUGUGUAACGGUAUGGAUAUACUUUGUCGGUUGUGCACUUGAGUAUCCACGUGAUUUGGCGGGCAUGACCUUUAAUGGGAGGGUGAACUAUGUGUUGGCAUGUGUUUUUGAGUACCGCAUUAAACGCAGCAAAAUUGUUGAUAGUGUAUUGGAGGUCUGGGCAUGCCAUUUAUCUUAGUGUCUGUUUUAGUGACGUGUCCCUUCAAACAUUGCUCAUGUUAUUUGGAAGGAGCAGCUUUGGCCUUUUGUUAUGCCUCUGUCAAGGUGUCAGGACAUCUUAAACUGAUUUAUUCUAGCAACCUGACUCUAUCUAAGAUACAUUAUUUGAAUAUAUAACAUGUAUAUCAUUAAUUGUACAUUCUUAAGAUGUGCUCUAGAAGCAUCAUAAAUUAUGGUACAAAUGAAUGAUCUUUGUGUUUGUACAUGUACAAAUAUUGAAUAUGUAACUGAGUAAAACAUGGAACUUUGUGAUUGAGUGGCGUUUCUGCAUUUAUAUACUUAAUUACUCAUAGAUAGUUGCUAGGAUUGAUUGUAUCGUGAAAGGAUUAUAUGUAAAUAGCCAUGAUAGUUUUACCAAAUUUAUGCUACAAUUGUUGUAGUGUGAUGAUUGUACCAAACUAUGAUCCUAUUCCUAUCUAUGAGUGAAUCGGUAGAUAAAUCUAGGAGUAUAUGGUGUAAGGGUUUAAAAUUUUACUCAUGUUUUUGACUUGGCUGUCGUUGUUAAGGUUGUUUUGGAUUGCUGUUCAUAUGAGUGGACACAUAGAUCUGGCAGACAUGUGUCACAAUUUGAGAGGUAAAUUGGCUACAAGGCUUACAGGGAUAAAUUCAGUUGUUUAAUAAUAAGCCACUAAGGCAUGUUUUAGUGGAUUACUUGUUUGCUUCCUCUGCAUGUGCCUGAGUGAGAUAUCGCAAUUUUACCAAGGUUUGGUGCUGUCUUAAUGCUAUAUUAAUGCCAUUUCAGAGGGAUUGUACUGCAAACUUAACCUUUACGUUUGUAAAACAUAGGUCUUCCCAUUUGGGUCUGUUCCACUGAAAACAUAUCUUCCUGAUGGAGAUAUCGACUUGACUGCAUUCAGCCCUGCGAUUUCUGAUGAGAAUCUAGCAAAUCAAGUCUAUGCUAUUCUAAGUUCAGAACAGCAUAGGAAGGAUUCUGAAUUUGAUGUCAAGGAUGUCCAGUAUAUCCAUGCUGAGGUAUUUCAAUUUACCAUAUUGCUCUGUGUUUCGAAUGCAUAUAUAUGCAAUUUGAGGUCAAACAUUGAUAUAUCAUCUUUUGGAUUUUUCACUUUACUGGAGGUGUUUGUUUCAUAUGACCACUUGUCUAAUUAACAUACUUCGAAAUCCCUGCACUCGUACAUAUGAACAUCGAUUUAUGUGCAUUAUGUAAAAAAAAUGGAAUUUCCCAUUUCUCUAUACUUGAAUGCAACUCUUUGUCUUGUUUAAUUAUGACAUCGGUGGAGCAUAUGAAUGUGCCGCUAUUUCUAUAGGUGAGAAUGUUAUUUCAUGUAUUGUUAUCCUAUGAUAAAUCUUCCUUAUGGGCUAUGGCAGGUUAAACUGGUAAAAUGUCUUGUACAGAAUAUUGUUGUAGAUAUAUCUGUGAAUCAAAUUGGUGGACUCUCUACGCUCUGUUUUCUGGAGAAGGUAAUAUUUCAAUGUUGUUUGGUUCUUGCUGUUGUCUUUCCUUAAACCUCAGAUCUGGUACUUGUAUAAUCCUCCUUUCCAAAUUAUAAGACGCUUUAACUUUUAUAUUAUAGACGCUUUAACUUUCCAAAUUAUAAACUACAUAUCUAGAAAAGCCAAAACAUCUUAUAAUUUGAAAUGGAGGGGACAGUUAAUAACAUAAAAAGCAUUUUACAAGGACUACUGCCUUCUUCGGAGUUGCUUAUGCCUUCAUUUACAGGUCGAUGAAAAUUUUGGAAAAAAACACCUGCUCAAACGAAGCAUAGUGCUUAUUAAAGACUGGUGUUACUACGAAAGUCGCAUCCUUGGUGCUCAGAAUGGAUUGCUAUCUACGUAUGCCUUGGAGGUUUUAGUUCUGUACGUUUUCCUUAUCUUCCACAGGUCCUUGGGUGGUCCCUUAGCUGUAAGUUUUGGCCUGAACUUUGCUGUUGCAUCUAUCAGUUUUUUGUGACCUUAUCAAAGUUCUUCAAGAUAGAGUACUUCCCAGGGGUGAAUGACUAUCUGCCCUUCUGCAGGUCCUCUAUAGGUUUCUCGAUUUCUAUAGUAAAUUUGAUUGGGAUAGCAAGGGAAUCAGCUUGUUUGGUCCUGUUUCCUUAUCUUCACUACCUAAUCUAGUUAGUAAGUAAAUGAACUCUCAAUAAUGCAGUAUGUUGGCUUGAUGCAACGUAAAUUUAUUGAUCAUUGACAUGACUUUUAUUCAACAGCUGACCCUCAUCUACCAGCUAUUGAUGAUGAUUUUUUUGUUCCACGGGAAAAGAUUCUUAGAAAAUAUGCAGAAGAUUUUAGUGCCCCUCCUAGAAACUCUGAGAGAGACGCACAAGUAUUUUCUCGGAAGUUUCUAAAUAUUGUUGAUCCACUGAAACAGAGUAAUAAUCUUGGACGCAGUGUCAACAAAGGUAUUGUUCUGCCUCUUGAUGUGAAUUGUGGUAGUAGGGACUAAUCAGGUACUAUGGUGAUUUCCUAAAAAGAUUCAAGCUUAAUUGUAUUAUUCCAUGUGCAGGGAACUUUUACCGAAUACGUAGCGCAUUUGAUUUUGGUGCUCGUAAGCUUGGGAAGAUUCUUCAAAUGCCUGUCUGUUAUACUGUCAAUGAAGUGAAUCAGUUCUUCUCGAACACAUUAAAGAGAAAUCAUACUGGGUUCAGACCAGACGACGGCAGUUCACCUUUAUACAGCAAUCCCUAUGGUGAUCUGUCUUAUCAGUUUAAUAACAUCUUGAAUGAUCUCACUGGAGAUUUCGAGAUAAACUUCCGUAAUCUUCAGUAUGCGCAAGGGUUCCAGCAAGUUAAUCCAGCAAACUCAUUUUACUAUGGAAGGCUUGCUCCACCACCCCUGCAAUAUCAGAACACGCACCCUUCAGAUAGUCAGGGAAGAAAAAAUCCACAUGCAUAUGCUAGCAUGAAUGGAGCAAUCCCUUGUCCUCCUUACCCAUCUGGUUGUCUUGCGUGGAGGCCAUUUAUUCAACCAGAUGAUCCUAUGGCUAUGAGGGCCCGUGGAAUAGGCACCUACUUUCCUGACCCAGUAUGUUCCCUCCAUGGACAUUCUAGAUAUGCUUGUAGAACUUAAAGUAACAUUUCUGAAUAAUCUGUAUCUGUCACUUGCCAUGUGUUCUUUUUGUUUCAAAUGAUGUACAUGUGCGCACAUAUUAAUGUUCUUCUAAUCUGUUUAUCAUUUUAUUAGAGUUACUAUCCUUUUUCAUAUGCAAUAAUCUUGAAGAUGUCUCCAUUAUGCUUAUGAGUUUACUACAUAGUAGAAUUACUUUAGGUUGGUUAGGCAUCAAAUUUGUAUUUGGACAGCUUUGUCUUGUAUUCGUGAUAAUUUUGUCUUGUUGGAUGCUGUAGAGAUUGUGCAAGGAUAGACCACCCGCUGGGCGUGGGGAGAGAGAAAAAAAUCAGUUCACCUAAAAUAAUUAUCAUCACUAUGUCAGAACAGAUAUGCCUGCAGUAUGGGAUCUGGUCAGGAAUUUGGGCAUGAGCUACCACAGAUACAUAUUACUGGUGCAACUGAUCAUGGAAUGCCGGCCAUCUCCAUCUCCCAACUCUCCAAGAGAUCAAUUGAAGGUACGAGUUCAUUCUCCAUCUUUCCAGGUUCGAAGGGAUAAUUUUCAUGGCAAUGGUUUCAUGCUCCCGCAAGACAGUAAACUUGAGUCUGGUACUUUUGACAGUAAACUUGAGGCUGGGACCUCUGGGGCGUUGCCUUUGGAAGUUACCUCCAAGGACCAUGCUAGCAGAUCAGAAUCUGCUUCCAGCAAUCAAGUUUUUGGACCUGUGAGUAUUGUUUCUAUUCUCUGAAACACUACGACAGGUUCCAACCGAAUGAGGUAGGUAUGGCAUAUUAUUUUCAUUGCCAGCACUAACAAUAAUUGUAUGACAGAAGUGAUGUUUAAUUUAGUGGACAUUUCCAUGCAUGUUACAACAAUUAGAUGUUUUACUCUCCGUUAGUUUAGUGUUUCUGCAAAGUUAUUUAGAUGGUUGUGAUGUUCACUGUUGGGCAUUAAGGCCAGUCUCAAUGUGAUUUCAUCAGAGUUUCAUGGGCAUUAAAUAUGCUGAUGUGGCACUGUAUUAAUGAAGUGAGAGAUGACAAGAGUUUCAUAGGAGCAGAGAGAGUUUCAUCCCCAUGAAACUCUUCCGCACUGUUUCCAAAAUCAGAUGUGUUGCAAAGUGGGACAUGAAACUCCCCAUUGAGACUGGCCUAAUACAUGGAGUAAAUUGUAUCGUAACCCCCUAAAACUUUUGAGUAUAUCUUACUGGGGUCCUUGGUCUUGACUCUUGAGAACCACAAAUGCAUACCCACUAACCUUAUAUAAUUGAGGACAGGGGAGGUUCAAUCCUUUGUGAUUGAUAAUUACUAACAAUGGGAGACCAUUCAAGUUGCCGUUGGUCACACUAUUAUUACCAUGUAAAUCAACAAAGAAUUGAUGUCCUUGGAUUUCGAUGUCUUUUCAAAUUUGUUAAUGCAGAUUUUACUAACUUACCAUUUUAAGCUUACUGAUGUAUAUACGUCUAGAUAUGUUUGGGGCUAUUAAUGUGCAUAUUCUCAAACCUAUGGGAUAUGGACCUACCCACACUUAUUUUUGAUUUACUCUAGCCACACUUGUUUUCAAGGCAGAAAACAUGCUAGUUCAGCUUAAAAAUGCACUCCUUUUCCCUCGUACCAUCCAUCUUGUAGGUUUUGUACUCAGUUUACAGAGUUUACAAUGUCUGACCCCGCACUGUACAAUUUUACAGGAUUGCGGAAUCAUAUCUCCUCAAGGACAACAUGGACUUCCCACCAUAUCCAGUUGAAUGUUGGUGGUGAUACACUGUAUGAACUGGGAGGUAACAGGCAACGCCGCACUAAACCACUAAGAGAAAAAUACCAAUGAAUGGUGUGUGCUUACUGCAGCAAUGGCAUGGAGUUGCUUCGUCGAAUUAGACACCAUGUUGUACAUCCUGCCACUUCCUUCCUGUACUCCAGUUGUCAGAUUCACCAGGUCGCUGCAAUCAGCCUAUGCUUCUUUCAUGUGCGAAAGGAGAAAAAAAGGGGGCCAACAAGAAAAGGAAGAAAGGAAGAAAGAUGGGGUGCUUGGACUUGAUGUGUAGAUACUUUUUACUGGUCAUGGCAGGGAAGAGAUAUGUUGGAGCGCUUGUUGGUUGUGUUGUUUUGAGCUAGGGAUGAGGGGAGCUGGAGCUUGCUAUGCCCAUGUGUAAAAUGUAAUGAGAAUAGUGUUGUAACCUCUGCUUGCAUUUGGAUGGAGGUCUUGUGUUGAAAAGCCCUGCUGUUUGAAGUAACUUUAGGUGUUUUAAAAAUGGCUAGGUAGACAGAAUAUAUUGGAUUAAUAGUGAAAAUUGAAGUAUUUAGUCUUUGCCAUAAGAAAAAUGGCUAGGUGGAGAGAAUGUUCACAUUCCAGUAAUCUAUGGAAUCUGUUUCAAUUUUAUGCUAGGUAAUGGUGUCUUAAGUGAGAAAAAAUUGUUGCUCAAAUCAUCUAAACGCAUAUAUGUGAUAACUAUAUGUAUCAGAAGAUAGAGAAGUAGUAUGCUAGCUAAUCUAUAAAAUUGUUGUUCCCUAGCAGAAAAGAAAGAAAAAAAAGGUUUUCUUCACAAACACAAACAAGGAUUCUGUUUGUCUUGUGAACCUAACAAUAUGUAAGGCAAAGUCCGUACUUCAGUGCACUGCACUGCAAGAUUACAGGUCUGUGCUGCUGAGUUGUUUUAUCUUUGUUUCCACUCGGUGAAAUGCGUGUAUUAGGGAAGGUCUAUGUCCUUUCGAUCAGUCUUGACCUGGUUUGCUUAGCAGCAAAACAGACAUACAAUCCACAGUAGUUUAGGGCAAUAUUUUCAUUUCAUGUCAUUUUCAAGACCCCAAUAAUUAUGUUUAUUCAUUCUCUAUAUGAGAUAUCACAUUAUAGCAAACAAUAAUUAUUUCUACUCAGAUUGAAGCCAUGCUAACCCGUGGUAUGUAUGUACUUCAAUUAUGCUCACUUCUGUAAUUUUGAUGUGGGACUGAGUCAUGUUCAAUGGUUCAUUUGGUUUACAUACCGCAGUGGAAGAAAAAUAAUCAACCAGACCAAUAUACAUUGUUGGCGUAAAUAGUAGUUUGUAAGAGGGCUUAUAUGUAAUAUUGAGAAGAAAAGGAUAAACAGACUCUAGUCUAGGAGUGAGCCAGCCAGAAAACUUCCCUCAAAUUUCAAUAUGCUAUCCAGAGCUAGGGUUAGGUUUACCUCAGGUGGUGGCACGGGCGAGUUGCUGUGACGGUGCGCCGGCAGGGGCUGCGCGGCCAGGCGAAGUGGAGGUGUGGUCGCGCGGGCCUGGCUCGGUGUGUGCAGGCGUGAACAGGAGCGAUGCGCGGGCAUAAGGACGUGCGUGCGGACCAGGUGGCACGUGUGUACGGGCGCGAGCUGCAAGUGCAGGCUGGGGCGCGAGGCUUGUGCUCGGCUGCUCGUGCAGGUGUGGGCGGCAGGCUUGUGCUCAGGCUAUGCGUGGCUGUGGUCAAGAGCAGAGAAAGAGGAGGCUAACAGGCUCCUGGUGUCUGC
rnacentral:lncRNA from 1 species